rnacentral:lncRNA from 1 species
UUAUCCAAAAUGAUGUUUUUUUUUAAAUGAUUCAAUUGCAGUUCAGUUUUGGUACUGAGCUGUUUUCUAAAUCUUGCAGCAUCUACCUAGGUUCCAACAUGAAAAUUUAGAGCAUAACAAAAAGCUAUUUAAACGUGUUAAUGAAAUACCAGUAAAGAAAAGAUGCACCCCAUCUCACCUUGCAUUAGCAUGGGUUCAUUACCAAGGAAAUGACGUGUCUCCGAUUCCUGGAACCACCAAGAUUGAAAACCUCAAUCAAAAUAUUAAAGCUCUGUCACUGAAACUUACUCCAGAAGAAAUUGCUGAGCUUGAAUCCAUUGCUUCAGCUGAUGCUGUAAGGAGUCAUCGGUAUGGGGGUGUCACCCCUACCUACGAGGAUUCUGAUACUCCACCUUUGUCUUCGUGGAAACUUUCAUAAAGGGUUUUGGUAUUCUGCCUUCUUAGUACCGAUUUUGCAAUUGCAUGUAGUUCCUAGGUUUUGUUGUGGGUAAAAUCAUUGUGUUGUGAGUAAAAAUAAAGUCAUCAUGUCUUCUGAUACGAGACCCUAUCAGCACCUUUCUACACUUUCUACAAGCAUUUAGUGAAUAUUGUAUUGAGUUUCUAUGCAAUGUUGUAAGUAAAACUAAAUCAUUGUAUCUAAUGGCUCCAUCUCAUUUGGGGUCCAAAAGCCUAAACUUUAACAGGUUUGGACAAUUAAGUAAUUAAAAGAGACUUAAAGGGGAGAAAUGAAAUUUGCCAUGAAAUUUGCCUAUAAAGCAAGUGAAAGCCGUUGCCUUGGAUAAUUUAGAGCGUGAACAAGUGGUGAGAGAGAGAGAGGGAGAGAGAAAAGACAGUAGAUGCUUUCAUUUGAUAAUAGUGAUUUUAAUCUUUAAUUAGAUGAUUGGAAGGCAAAAUUAACUCCGAUUUCUCUCAAAUUUUGAGUGUAAGAUCUUGGCAUCGCCCUCUAGAAUCCUACUGGUCUUGAUUUUGAUUUUAUUCUCUCUUUGGCUAUUAUUUGAAAUACCUACUUGUUGGAGAGACAAUUAUUAAGUUAUUACUGUAAGUUAAGAUUAUUGAGAUUCUUGAUGUUGACAGCCUCUAGUAUUAUCUAGAGAAGAAUUUGUGCUAUAAUCCAUUAAUAUAGUGGAAGAUUAUAUCAGACUAUGGUCUAGUGGUUUUCCCGCUUUAGAUUUUUCAUGUAAAAAUCUGUAUCUCUUGUGGUUGAAUUUUGCUUUGGAUUUAUUGAUUUAUUUUUCUGCCUAUUUAUUUAUGGUGCACGUCCUAUUUUAAUCACACAAAGAGGGAAAGAGUUUUGUUUCUACUUAAUUUGUAGCUGCUUAUGGCAAUCCAUUUCCCAACUGAGUGGUAUCAGAGCGUCAAGUUUUGUAUUUUUAAUUGUUUGUGUGGUUGAAUGGAGAAGUCCUUGGCAUGCAUGAUUAAACUAAAAUCAUGGAAUUAUGGUAUUUGAAAGUCUAGAAUAGAGGAUUUGUUAUACAUGAAAGACUUAUAUGAACCCAUUAAAAGCGAAGAAGUUAGACCCGCCGAUUUAGAUGAUAAGAAAUGGGUUCAAUAAAACCAGAAGGUUGUGGGUACUAUUAAGCCACUGAUUGAUCAAAGUGUGUACCACCAUAUAGCAAAAGAAUCUAAGGUUGAUUUUUUUUUGGAGAAAAUUAUAGAUAAUUUAUGAGCAGCCGACAAUACAUAAUAAAGUCAAUUUGAUAAAAAGGCUUGUUAACUUGAAAUACAAAGAGGGGGGCAGUAUAACUGAACACACUAGUGAGUUUCAGUGCUUAGUUGAUUAGUUAACUGCUAUAAAAAGUAUUUUAGAUGAUGAGUUACAAGUAUUGUUGUUGCUUAGUUCUUUGCCUAACCAGAGACAUUAGUGGUGUCAGUGAAUAAUUCAGCGCCGAAUGAGAAAUUAACUUUGUAUAUGGUUACAAAAUGAAGAAUCUAGAAGAAAGAAUGUUGAAGCAGUUUCUUCUGAGUCAGAAGCACUUGUUUCAGAAAAGUAAGAAAAAAGGGGAAGAAGCCAAAGUAUAAAUUUCUGCCAGCAAAACAAUGAUCAUCUAAGUCCUAGAGGAGAAACCUCAAGUGCUUUCAUUGUCAGAAAAUGGGUCACGUUAAAAGGGAGUGUAGGAUGUGGAAAAGAGAACAGAUGAAAGAAAAGGGUGAUGCUCAGAAAAAUGACAAAUAGAACAGUGCAGCCAUACUUGAUGGUGAUUUGGGUAUUGUUUACAUGAGAGUUCAAUAAAUCUCGCUUACCAUACCAGUGAUUGGGUGAUUGAUCCAAGAGCUUCAUUUCAUAUUAUUGCACGUCGUGAUAGCUUCACAUCCGAUGUUAAUAGUGAUUAUGGUCAUAUUCAGAUGGGAAAUAAGGAGGCAUAGGUGAUAUUUGCUUGGAAACCAACAUCGAUUGUAAAUUGUUGCUUAAAUAUGUCAGACAUGUGCCAGAUAUUAGGCAAGCUUGGUGAUGAUGGCUAUACUAACCCAUUUGGUGAAAGGAAAAUAGAAGCUUAUCAAAGGCUCCCUAGUGUUAGCUAAGGGGAAGAAAGUAAACACCCUCUAUAUUUUAGAAGCCAAGAUUAAGAAAAAAGAUGUGAAUGUGGCUGUAACAAAAUCUGCCAUUGAGACAUAGCAUAAAAGGCUUGGUCAUAUUGGUGAAAAAAGGUUGGAAACCCUUGUCAGAAAAGGAUUUCUACCCAGCUUCAUAGGUGUGUCUCUCAAGACUUGUAUUCAUUGCUUAGCUAGAAAGACACACAGAGUAGUUUUAAAAAAAUUUUCUCCAUCUAGAUAGUCAUAAAUACUUGAUUUGAUUCACACUGAUGUUUGCAUGAUGUAGAGUAGAUUAAUAGGAGAUACACUUUAUUUUGUGACUUUUAUUGAUAAUUGUUCUAGAAAAGUGUAAGCUUUUACUUUGAAAUUCAGAGACCAGGUGCUUGACAUAUUUAAAUUCUUCCAUGCUUAUGUUGAGAGAGAGAUAAGAAAAAAAAAUUAAAAUGCAUCAGGGCAGAUAAUGGUGGUGAGUACAGAGGACCAUUUGAGCAGUAUUACAGAUCCCAUGGAAUAAGACUUGAGAAAAUUGUACCAAAAACCCCGCAGCAGAAUAGUGUUGCAGAAAGGAUGAACAGAGCAAUUGAAGAAAGGGUCAAGUGUAUGCUCUGUGAUGCUAAGCUUCCUAAAUCUUUCUAGGCAGAGGUUAUGCAUACUAAAGUUGACUUGAUUAACCUUUCUCCUUUAGCUCCAUUAGAUAGCAAUAUACCUGAGAGAGUUUGGACUGGAAAAGAUGUCUCUUAUAAACACUUGAGAGUGUUUGGUUAUAGAGCAUAUGUUCAUAUCCCAAAAGAUAAGAGAUCGAAGCUUGAUGAUAAAGCCAAAGAAUGCAUUUUCUUAGGCUAUGGGCAUGAAGAAUUCGGGUACAUAUUAUGGGAUCUAGUGGCAAGAAAAUUGAUCAGAAGUAGAGAUGUUAUAUUCCUUGAAGAUCAUAUAUUUGGCAAUGCAGAGAAGAGUAAUGAGCCUCAGUCAUCUCCAAAGAUUCCUAUAAUUCCAACUUCAGUUUCUCCAACUGUAGUUCAUAAUGAUCAUGGGGGAGCUGGAGAGACUAAUACUGAUAGUCCAAUAGAACUAGUUGACCAAAGACCUCCAGAAUCACCUGCACCACCAAUUGAGCCAGAAUUAAGAAGAUCUACCAGAGAACGGCGAUCUUCCACUAGAUAUCCUCCACAUAAGUAUAUGAUGCUUAUAGAUGAAGGGGAGCCAGAACAUUUUGAAGAAGCCAUAUCUCAUCAACAUAAAAGCGAGUGGGUUAAAGUCAUGCAAGAGGAGAUGAGAGGCUUGAAUGAAAACCAUACUUAUGGCUUAGUAAAGCUUCCUAAAGGAAAGAGGGCACUAAAGAACAAAUGGUUUAAUAGGUUGAAGAAUGAAAAUAACUCACAAUAGUGAUACAAGGCUAGAUUGGUUGUGAAAUGUUUCGAUCAAAAGAAAUGUGUUGAUUUUAAAGAAAUAUUUUCUCUUAUGGUGAAGAUGUCGUCUAUCCAAGUUGUUCUAGGAUUAACAGCUAGCUUGAACUUAGACACUGAAUAGCUUAAUAUAAAGACAACUUUCUUACACGAUGACUUCAAGGAGGAAAUAUACAUGGAGCAACCUGAAGGGUUCAGUGUCAAAGGCAAAGAAAAACUUGUGUGCAAGUUAAAGAAAGUUUGUAUGGGCUGAAACAAGCACCAAGACAGUGGUACAAGAAGUUUGAUUCUUUUAUGGAGAAUCAUGGUUUCAGCAAGACUAUGUGCGACCAUUGUAUUUUUAUGAAGAAGUUUGGAGAUAAUGAUUUCAUUAUUCUUUUGCUUUAUGUAGAUGACAUGUUGAUUGUUGGCCCGGAUGCUCGUAAGAUUGACAAUCUAAAGAGAGAACUUAGCAAGUCUUUUGCAAUGAAGGACUUGGGACCGGCGAAACAAAUUCUUGGCAUGAAGAUUUCCCGCAAUAGAAAAGUUUGGAAGUUAUGGUUAUCUCAAGAAUCAUAUGUUGAAAGGGUUCUUGAAAGACUUAACAUGAGCAAGGCAAAAUCUGUUUGUUCUCCACUUGCAAGUUAUUUCAAGCAUAGUUCUGAGCAUUGUCCCACAAGUGAGAAAGAGAUGAAAGAAGUUCUUUAUGCUUCAGCAGUUGGUAGUCUUAUGUACGCCAUGGUUUGUACAAGACCAGAUAUUGCUCAUGCAGUUGGAGUAGUUAGUCGAUUUCUCUCCAAUCUGGGCAAAGAGCACUGGACAACAGUGAAGUAGAUUCUCAUAUAUCUCAGAGCCACUUCCAAGGCAUGUUUAUGUUUUGGUGGUGACAAACCUAUAUUGCAAGUGUACACAGAUGCAGAUAUGACAGGAGAUGUUGAUUCGAGAAAAUCUCUAUCAAGAUAUUUGCUCAGCAUUGCAGGGGGAGCUAUCUCAUGACAAUCCAAACUUCAGCAGUGUGUUGCCUUGUCUACCAUAGAAGAAGAGUAUAUUGCAAUCACUAAAGGUUACAAAGAAACCUUGUGGAUGAAGAAUUUUCUAUAAGAGGUGGAUGUGAAACAAAAUAUCUUUGUUGUGUAUUGCAACAGUUAGAGUGCCAUUCACUCGGCAAACAAUUCGACAUACCAUUUGAAAUCUAAGCAUAUUGAUGUGAGGUAUCAUUGGAUACGAGACGUGCUUGAGAAGAAACAGUUGCAAGUUGAGAAGAUACACACAACGGAGAGUGGGUUAUAUAUGAUGACAAAACCAUUGCCUAAGGAGAAGCUGAGAAGCCGUAUGCAAAGAGCGGGAUUGGUGGUGCCCCCCACAUGAUUCGAAGAGGGAGAUUUGUUGGGCCCAUCUCAUUUGGAGGCCAAAAGGCUAAAGUUUAAUAAGUUUAAAAUUAAGUAAUGAAAAGAGACUUAAAAUGAAAUUUGCCUAUAAAGUGAAGUGAAAGACGCUGCCUUAGAUAAUUUUGAGAGUGAAAAAGUGGCGAGAGAGAGAGAGAAAAGAAAAUAGAUGCUUUUAUUUAGGAAUAGUAAUUUUAAUCUUUAAUUAGACGAUCGGAAGGCGAUAUUAACUCUGAUUUCUCAUAAAUGUUUAGCGUAUGUUCUUGGCAUCGCCGCAUCGCCCUCUACAAUCCUACUAGCCUUGAUUUUUAUUUUAUCCUCUCUUUGACUAUUAUUUGAGAUAUUCACUUGUUGGAAAGAUAGUUAUUAGGAUGUUACUGUAAGCCAUAUUGAGAUUCUUGAUGUUGGUAGCCUAUAGUAUUAUCUAGAGAAGAAUUUGUAUUGUAAUCCCAUUAAUAUAAUGGAAGAUUAUAGCGGACUACGGUCCCAUAAUUUUUCUCGCUUUAAGUUUUUCACGUAAAAAUAUAUGUCUCUUGUAGUUGGUUUUUGCUUUGGAUUUAUUAGUUUAUUUUUCUGUCUAUAUUAUUUGUAGUGCACAUCCUAUUUUAAUCACACAAAGAGGGAAAGAAUUUUUUUUUUCGCUUAAUUUGUAGCUGUUUGUAGUGGUCCUUUCCCAACAAUGUCUUCUGCAGUAAGCACAAAAACAAUGUAAUGUGUUUAUGCAAAUAUAUGAGAAACAAUAAAUAAAUCAAAAUGGAGUAAUAUUUAUCUGAAAUUUCUAGAAGUUUAGAUGAUCUUAAUUAGGGGCGAAGCCAAAAAAAAAUUUCCUGGGUAGGCUAAAUUUUUUCCAAAUCCAAAUAUUAUCUCGGCUAAAAAUAUAAAUCUGAAAGAAAUUUUUUUUAAUACAUAAGAAAAUAUAUCAUAUCUAAGAAGCAAUUUAGUCACAAUUAAACACUAUUAAGUUUUGCCUUACCAUACUUUCGAGAAUUAAACCCAUCUAUUAUCAAAUUUAAAUUGAUGGUGCUUACAAUUUCUCUUUUAACAUAGAUAACUAUACAAUCUGAUAAAAAUUCCUUCUCCUUCUUAUUUUAAAGUGGUGUUUAUGCUCGUUUGGUCAUUGCAGCCGAAACAAGGUAUAAAUAUAAAAGAAGUUAAAAGACGUAAUCACAAAUUCACUAAUAAAAGCCAUAGAACCGUCAAUCUAUCAUGAAAUACAGGUUAUGCAACCCAAGAAAUGGGUGAAUUGGGCUUCUAAAAAUUUAAUCAAUUAAGAAUUAAUGCAAUUUAAACAAAGUAACCAAAUUCGAAAUAAACAAUUAAUGUGCAAUGAAAAAUAAAGAGGUAGGGUAAGAGAGACCAAACACGUGAUUUUUACGUGGUUCGGUCAAUCGUGCCUAUGUCCACGCCUUCAAGCUCACCGGGCUUAAGGAUUUCACUAAGUGAUUCUCCAAGACUUCAACAACUCUUUCAAUUGACUUCCAAUGAGUCAAGAGACCUUUACAACAAGAGAUUAUCUUCAAUCUCUUAACCCAAGUGUAUCUCAACACUUACAACCUCUUAACUUGAUUUUACAAAAAUGAUUACAAAUAAAUUUUCCUCACACAAUUUGUUUGAUUACAAAUGAAAAUUCAACAUGUGUGAAUAAAUAAAAUGAAUACACAAAUUUUGUUCUCUAAUUGCAGAGGAUUGCUCAAUGAUAACAAUGGUUGUCUCUCUUCAUUUUAAUUUAAUUGAAGCCAUUUUAUAGUUGGAGUAGAAAAUUAGCUGUUAUUAACUUUUUAGUGAUAACCGGCUUGUCGUUUUAUGUUAAAUUUGUCGCUUGAUGUUACUGCUAUAGUCAAGGAUUUGAAUUUUUGCACAUCUAGUUUGUCACUUUUCAUUUUUCAGUUAGUCAAUUUUACUCCAGAGAGCUUUUGCUUGAUAACCAGUUUGCUGCUUUGAUAAAUCCAGUUAGCCGUUUCCUACAGUGAAACAGCUAUUUUCUAAAAUUAUAAUGUUACCCUAAAACUUUAUAAAAUUAUAUUACGUCCCAAAUCUUUAUAAAACUUUGUAAAUAGAUCAAUUUCCAGAAUUUUAAAAUAAUACUUAUUGAUUUCAAAGUUCUCAAAACUUUCUAAUUUAAACCAUAAACUUGAAAACAACAAAUUUCAUAAAAUAAUUUCUUGUUUCAAAAGCAUAAUAUGUAAUUAUUUGUUUAUCCAAAACAUGUGGUUUGUUAUCAUCAAAAUAACAUUUUAUAUCAAUAAUCAAUUUCAAAUAUAUCUAAUCUAUCAAAAAUUAAUUUAAAAUUUUGAUUGCUAGAAUUUAAUGGCUAAAUUAUCUUCAUUUGACCUAACAAUAAUUUAAUUUUACACAACAAAAUUGGAACAAAAGUUAAAGAACAUAAUCAUUAGUCCUUACUACCUAACAAUUAAUAAGUGUAUUGUAAAUGAUUGAAUAAACAAUAAAUUUAUUAUCUAUUCUUGCCAAGAAGAAGAAAAAGAAUUGAAGAAGCCAAGAAAGAAAUAACGUUCUGGAAUUUUGAAUGAAAUAAAUGCUCUCUUUUUCUUUUUUUUUUUAAAGACUUUUUCUAUUUAUUUAUUUGAAUGACAAAGUUGUAAAUUAAUAGAACAGUACUAUUGUAAAUAAAAUAGUGGCAAUUUUGUAAACUUUGUAUUAUGGCAUUUUUGUAAAUUUCCUAAAAAUUUCCCAGCCCACUUGGAGCCUCGCCAUUGAUGUGAAGAGCAAUGCUAGGUAUCCCAACAUAUAAGUCCCAAUUUGAGUCCCUACUAACGUGGAAUUCAUCUAUUGAAUGUUGAUUAAGUAAUUUUACUAGAUAUGAGAUCCAUCAUCCAAUUGAUGAGUGACACAUAUCAUUAAGAGUCAAGUUGAGACUCAAAUGUUGGGAUCCCAAACAUUAUUGCUUAUCUAAAUUUAUUGUAGCAUUAUAUGUUUCUUGUUGUUACACGACAUCCCUCCUCAACAGAAAAUUAUUCAAUAAUUUCAUAUCAAUCGAAUACUUUUGCUGUGUUACAAAGUGGCCUCUAGCAGGUUACCAAAUUGAUUCACAAUUUUUCAGAUCAUUUUACUGGAUAUUAAACUAUUUCAACCAACUAAUUAUGCUUAGUGAUGAAACUCAGGUCCGUCCCAGAUAUAGCAAUACUCAAAUUUGGCCCAAGCAUUUUUUCCUAACACUCAGGUUGGGCUUAAAAACUCGGCACCAAAUGGAUUUUUUUUUAUGGGCUUAAAAAUUUUAAGAUUUUAUAUUUAAUAAUAGUAUACAUGUAUAUUUGCGAUCACCUCAUAUUGAUAAAAAGUCUGGAGAACAAUUUGAAAUGGAGAUCACAGAAACAGAAAGGCAUGAAUUGUACAAGAAGUUCUCUGGAGUUUCAAACUUUCAACCCAAUUCAUUAUAUUGAGUUUACUUACUUUUAACCUAAUUCAUGAUAAGCAGUCACAAAUUCUAUUCGCGAAUUCAUUAUGCUACCCUAUUGACAUCCAUACAUGUAUUAGUUCAACAAUUUCUUACAUCAUAUAAACCCGGACUUCUUAUUUACAUUAUAAACAUUUUGCAUCUUUUAUUCAAAAACAUCAUGAUUGUAGAUAUUGAACACUAAAAUAAUUCAGAAAAUACUACAAGGUUAAUUUUUAGUAUUAAUGGAUUAGUUUCUGUGGAGUAUAUUAUAUUAUACAAAGAAUAGUCUAUUGACACUGUUGGACUAAAAAUAAAAGAGGCUCAAUCAAGGCCCAAAUAAAUUUAAUCUCAAUAAGACCUAUCUAAUAAAUUUACUCUCAAUUAAACCCACAAAGUGCUGGACAAACCACCUAGGAUAAUCCUUCUAAGUAAUAAGACUUCAAAGUCUAAAGGAUCCCAAAGUCCAAGGCUAAAAGGUUCUAAAGUCCUAGGAUUCUAUCCUAAGACAAACCACCUAGGAUAAUCCUCCUAGAUGAUGAGGCUUCAAAACCCAAAAGGUACCGAUGUCGUAGGCUCAUAUUCUAAGAUAAACUACUUAUAAUAAGUCUCGUAAGUUCUAAGGUUCCCAUCAUCUCAGAGUCUUAGUAAAAACAACUUAAGGUUAAAAUGCUUCUUUCUGUAAUCUAUAGACAAGCUUGCAUAUCCAUGUGUCAAUUAAUAUGGGCACAAACAAACAAGUGUCGCCAGAUGUGAUACGAACAAUGACACUUGUCAUCAAAAUAAAUAGGACUCAAGUCAAAUCGGUUUGGAGCAUAACAAAAAGUUAUUUGAGCAUGUUAAUGAAAUAGCAAUGAGAAAAGGAUGCACCCAGCACAGCUUGCGUUAGCCCGGCUUCACCACCAAGGUGAUGAUGUGCGUCCCAUACCUAGAACCACCAAGUUCGAACAGCUCAAUGAAAAUAUUGAAGCUCUCACAGUGAAAUUAGCUCCAGAAGAAAUGGCUGAACAUGAUUCCAUUGCUUUGGCGGAUGUUGUAAAGGGUGAUCGACAUCCGGAUACAGUAACUACCUACAAAGACUCUGAUACUCCACCUCUGUCUUAAUGGAGACCUUCUUAAAGGAAGUGGAUAGAAUCCAAGCGCUUAAAUAUAAUUAAACCUACUUACAAAAUACCCGAGACAUUAAAUAAAACAAGAUGGCUGUAAUGUUCUAAAAUUUCUACAUGCGUUGAAAUUGUCGACCCGCUUGCUUGUGAUGCAGCUAUCUGGAAUACAACCAGAUAAAUUAAUAGCAAGGAUCCUAAAAAAUAUAUUUAUUUAAAAAUUAUUAAUUAUAAUUAAAUUAUUAAUUUAUGAAUAUAUUUCUUAUUUUAAAAAAUAUGAUCACGUUCAUAAAAUUUCUAUUUUCCAGAGAAACCGAAAAUAGUAAUUAACGAGUUGUAUUGCCCUAACGGAAUGAAUGGGUGUUAAGCACCUCUUACAGCAGAAUUUUAUGUGGCUAUCAAAUUAUUAAAAGUAUCACCAAAACUGAUAAAGAAUAAAAGGUUGAAGCGGCAUCUUUCCCCUACAAACUGUCUCGAUUAAUUAAAAGUUAUUUUAAAUAUUUAAAAUCAAAAUAUUGUCCUAAUCAACUUCUCAUUUUAUGCACCGUUGACAGUACAUAUUCAUGCCAUCACUCAUACUGUGAUUAACAAGGAAAUUCUACAAAGGGCAGGGUAAAGAAACAAGCAAGCGAAGAAACAAGGAAAACAUUAAUGAACAUAAAACAUUACUAUGAAACAUUUGAAGCAUGUGAGCUUUGAUGAAACGUUUAGAUGUUUUCAUAAAUAUAAGUUAAAUUAUGAUAUUUGAUUACAUCCCAAAUAUAAGUUAAAUUAUGAUAUUUGAUCACAUCCCAUUUUCAACGGCAAUCGUAAUAUGCAAGAUACAAUAGAUAUCAUACAGUUUCCAACUGAUCCAUAUCAUCGUAUUAUGUGCUUACUAAUCAUGAAGCAGAGUAACUGCAGCUCAGUGCUUGGUUUUAGGCCUCUUCACUAUCAUCACCGUGCAAUGAGCAUGAUGAGCACAAUAAUCACUUACACUGCCCAAAACCGCCCUGCAAAAGAAUCGAUCUCAGUUAUAAAUCAUCAGAAUCACCAACAGGAAACAAAUGAAACCUACUAACCCUCUCAUUCAACAAAAUUUGUAAAUCCAUAGUACGUAUGACAUUCCCAGCGAAAGAAUACUGAAAUAGAAACCGAUCAAAAUUUUUUUUUUUUUUUUAAAGGUAGAGGAGAAGGCAAAUCCCCAAUUAAAUUUUUAGUAUCAAUUUGCAUUUGGGUGGCCAGUCAAAGAAAAGCGUUUUACUACAUCUCAAUGACAUUUUUUCCACUUUAUUUUCAUCUGGUUAUAGCUACUCCAUAAUAAAGAAUAAAAUAUUGAUUCAUAUAAGCUUUUACAAAUAGUACUAGUUUAUUUACACUUACACAUUUGAGUCCUCAUUGCAACUGAAAAAUAUGAAUAAUAACCAAAACAGUUCACCAUACCAAGUUCCACUCGAGAAAAUAUGAGAUACCAAAGGAAACAACUUAUAGUAGAUUUAUACCUUUUGAUCGCUCCAUAGCCAUGACUACCAACAACCAAUAUGGAGGCAUGAUGCUUCUCUACAGCCUCACAGAGGAUAUUUCGGGCAUCUCCUUCCACCACCUCAACAACAAAGUCAUGCACCUAAACAAAACAGAACUACUGAUUUACAGAAAUGAUACCAGAAGAAAAACAAUUAAGUAUACCCAUUAUAAUCUGGUAUACUGAAACUGGGGAAAGAUAAAAGGAUAAGCAUGAAUACUUACCCAGAUCUACCAAUUUAGAAAGGUUAAUUUUGGAUUACCGAUCAUAAAAUGACAGUCCUCGAAGUACCUCUAAACUAUUCUAAACCUUAAUUUACCUCUGUUUGGGUUUAAAAAAUAAAUAAAAAUCAGGGGGCAUUGAUGAAAAUUUUUUCGUCUUCUUAACAGAAAAGAGGGAAAGUUGAUGUUUAGAGGAGUAUUUUGAAGAUUAUCAUUUCACGAGUGGGACAAUCUAAAGAUAGCUUUUUCCACCAAUGUUGUUAGUGGGAGUGUUCCGAACUAGUCUUGGUAGAUUUUUGAACUGUACUACAAACGUGUGUAUAUAGAAUCCCGGACGAUCCCAAGAUUGUAAUUUAUUUAUAGAUUGUAAUAUCAUUAAAAAGAAAUAACAACCCAAUCAUUACCGAUUUACUGCUACAGAUUUCUUUAGCCUUCUCCACAACCCUAGCAGCAAUCUUCUUCAAAUCUGAGUCCACAUAAGGCAAAACCUCGGCGGCUCCUGCGAUAAAUUAAAAUUAAAAACCAGGUACUUGAUCAUCAAGAAAGCAAGAAAAAACAAACAAACUAAAAUCGAAAAUUAAAAUCGAACAAAGUACGACAAAAUCUAUUACUUAAUUUCUAAGACUUGCAAAGCAAAGACAAAUACCAAAGGACUAAUUGAUAAUUAGUUAAAUUUAUAAUUACUUUACCAGGUCCAGCAAGGCCAACAACAGAAGAAGGGGAAGGUUUGGCAUGAACGAUGACGAGUUUGAAAGGAGGAUUUACAGUCGAAUUUGCGAAGAAAUGAUCGAGCGUCCAUUGAAGCGCGUACGUGCUGUGCUCGCUAUCGUCGAUCCCUACCACCAUCGUUUGUGUCUCAGCCGUCGCCAUUGAGACGAUGACGACUCAACCCUUUUUUUUUCUUUUUUUUUCCUUUGUAGCUGUGUGUUAUUUAGAAAGUUGCAGAGUUUGUUCGAUUUCUAACCUAUAUAAGCGAAUAAAUCGAAGAGACGGCAAAAUGAUUAUCUAGAUAAGACGACAACGUAGCAAGUGAAGCAAGUUGCGGGCGUUGGCGGAAAGUGCUUUAAGAGUCUGGAGUUUUUUUUUUUUUUUUUUUUCUUGAGAAGGUAAAGGUAUGGAGUUUAAUUUUGAAAAGUUUUUAAAAAAAAGUUAAUUUUAAUAUUUAUUUUUAUUAUAAAUUAAUUUUAAAAUUUAUUUUUAUUAUAAAUUAAUUUUAAAAUAUUAAAAAUUAAUUUUAAUAUCUGAUAAAUUAUUUUAAAAAUCAUUUUUAGAAAAAUCACUUUAUUUUAUAGUGGAUUUUCAGAUGUAUGAAAUGAAUAAUUUUUUAAAAUCUAAUUUUGAGAAUUAAUUUUAUAUCUAAUCAUUCCAUAUAUUAUAAAAAUAUAAAAUUAAUCUUAUUAAUUAAAAAUAAAAUUUUUAACCUCAAAUAUAUUAUUAUUGUUGUUACUAUUUAUAUUGCGAUAACAAAAUAAAAAUAAAAUUAAUAAUAAAAAAUAUUUAUUUUAAUUAUUAAUUAUUUUUUAUACAUAAAAAAUAUUUUAUAAACAUGUUGAUAAAUGUCUAAAUAAAUUUUACUUAACAUUAUAUCGAACUCAAUCAUUUGUAUUCUUACAAUAGUUUAAUAAAUAAAAUUUAUUAAAUACAUACGACUAUUUUUAAAACUCACAAUAUUUUUAAAAAUAAAAUUUAUUAAGUAUUUAAUUGAUUUUUUUCGUAACUGUUUAUUUCUAUACCAUUGAUAGUUGUAAUUAUUUAAAAGCAUAUUAUUACCAAAUUAGCCCUAAAAUUCAAAUGUUCUUUGGAUGUUUUUGUAAUUUUGUUAUCAACUGAGGCAGGCCAAGUUCGAGAUAUCAAACCUAGUAACUUAGGGUGCAUUUGGAAUUGAAGUUGGGCAACUGUAACUUAAAAGGUACAGCAUUAAAGUGUUUGGUAAACACUAGCUGCUGUAGCUUUUAAGCUAUGUUGAUAUGAUUUUUCACUUGUAUAAUAUAAAAUUUAUUAUAUCUUUAAUAAUUUUAUCAAAAUUAUUAUUUAAAAUUUAUAUUUACUAUAUAUUAUUAACUUUUAUUUCAUAAUUACAACUUUUUUUUUUCACAGCAGCUGUAGCUUAAAAGUUACAGCACCUCAAUUCCAAACGCACCCCUAGUAACCUACAGCUAAUAAUGUGCAUCACCACUUUGAUCAGGUUAAAAAAAAAAGUUCCCAUCAGAAUUGCAUUUUUCAAUUUUUUUUUCAAAAUGAUCAGUUUUCCCCAGUGUUAGUUUACCUGAUGCCCAAUUGAAAUCAAAUCGACUUUGUCAAAGUAAUUGAAAUCAAAACGACUUUUUUUUUCGUAUUUUAUAUAUUUACUUCUUUUAUAAGUAUAUGUGUCUUCAUCUUAUUAGGCUCCAUUUCGGGUGUGGUUACAAUGCCAGGAGGCAAUCUCUAGGCAUGAUGACCUAAAACAACUGAUUUCUUUAACUGAUUACUACAUUUAACUAAUUAUUUAAAUUUUAAAAAUUGAAAUAGGAUAAUAUACUAGUUAAUUUUUUUUUGAAAAGAUAAUAUUAAUAGAAAGGAAAAAAGAUAAAUAAAUAAAAAAUGAAAGAAAAAUAAUAUCUUAUAAAAAAUCAAGAAAAAAAAGUUUAUAUAAUAAAAGACAAAAAUUUGUUUGUUAUUUUAUAUGUGUUAUUUCACAUUUGACAUUAAAAAUUUCAAGUGUAUUGUUAUUUGUCUCAAGUUUAUUAUUCUAAAUACCCCUAAAAUUUUAUUUUCUUCCCCAUUUCAUGUUUGACAUUCGUAUUUCAUAUAUAUCAUUAAAAAUUACUUUUUUUAUUGUUAUAUGUUUUAUAUAUAACAAUACUCAUAUUUAAUGUUUAACAUUACAUAUUUAACUUGUAAUGUUUCAUAUUACAUAUUAUUAUUUUAUGUAUAAAUUUUAUGUUUUAUGUUUAUAUCACAUGUUGCAUCUUUGAAAUUUGGUGUUUCAUGUUAGAAAUGGCACAAAUUUUUUUUAUUUUUCUACUUGUUUCAUGUUUGACAGUCGUGUUUAUGUAUAACAUUGUUUGUCACAUAUGUCAAGCACCAUGUUACAUGUUUGCUUUAUACUCAUGUUUAAUGUCUAAAGUUGCAUAUUUAACUUUCAAUGUUUUAUAUCUCAUAUUAUUAUUUCACAUAUAAAUUUCAUAUUUCAUGUUUUCAUCACAUGUUGUAUCUUUAAAGUUUGGUGUUUAAUGUUGGAAAUGACGCCAAAAAUUUUUAUUUGCCCACUCGUUUCAUGUUUGAUGUUCAUGUUUCAUAUAUAACAUCAUUUGUUACAUGUAACAAGUAUCAUGUUGCAUGUUUACAUUGUACCCAUGUUUAAUGUCUAAUGUUGCAUACUUAACUUUCAUUUUUGCAUAUAUCAUGUUGUUGUUAACAUAUAUGUUUCCAUAAUGUUGAUUUUAAUGAUAACAAACAAGAUUAAGAAUUAUUAAUCUUUUAAGCUCAAAUUAUUGAAAAAUAUAUUUUAAAUAAAUCAUUAUUUUCACAUUAUAAAUGUUUCAUAUUUAAUGGAAAAAUGAUUUUAUGAAAUUGGUUGUUUUUCAAGUUUAUGGUUUAAUUGAAAGAAUUUUGAAAACUUUGAAAUCAACAAAUAUUGCUUGAAAUUUUGGUGAAGGACUUAUUUGAAAAGUGUCAUAGCAUUUUGGGCUAUAUCAUAAUUUCAGAAAGUUUUGGAAAUAGUAAGUAUUAUUUAGAAAUUCUGAAAUUGGACUUAUCUGCUAAGUAUAUAACGUUUUAAGCCAUAGUACAGUUAUAUAAAAUUUUGUGGUCAAACUGUUAUUUUAUAAAAUAAUUCACUGUAGCAGUUACUGUAGAAAACGGCGAUCCGACAUCUUGAUAACGGCUCGCUGACAUCUAACAGAAUUGAAGAUUAGCCUCUGGACUUAAAUGGCGAUCCGACAAUUUUGAUAAACGGCUCGCCGAUAUCUAACAGAACUGAAGAUUAGCCUCUAGACCUAAACGACGAUCCGACAUCUAGAUAACGGCGAUCCAACAAUUUAAAAAAUCAACCCAACGGUCAUAUUGACCAGUCAAACGACGAUCCGACAGUGUGCAGAAAGUCAAUAACGACUAGUUUUCAGCUCCAUCUAUAAAUAAGCUCAUUCAAAUUCAAACAAGCAGAUUUCCAACGAUCAUCAUUGAGCAAAAUAUUGAGAAUACAACUUUCAUUGAACUUGAAAUUCUUGUAUUCAUCUCAUUCAUUCACACAUUGAGCUUUCACUUGUGAUCAAAUACAUUGUGUGAGAGAGAUUCAUUUGUAAUCUUUUUUGUAAAAUCAAGUUAAAAGAUUGUAAGUGUUGGGAUACACUUGGGUUAAGAGAUUUGGGAUAAUCUCUUGUUGUAAAGGUCCAUUGACACUUUAGAAGUCCAUUGUAAGCGUUUGAAGCCUUGGGAGGCUAGCUUAGUGAAAUCCUCAAGCCCGGUGAGCUUAGAGACGUGGACGUAGGUGGAGAUUGCCGAACCACAUAAAAAUCAUUGUGUUUGUUUUCUCUUCCCUUACUCUUUUAAUAUUGUGCAUGAUUGAAUUUAUUGUUUUCAAUUUGAUUAAGGCAAUAGAUUAAAUUGUUGUGUGGUUUGCUUAGCUUAAAUUUUAAAAUCUCAAUUCACCCCCCCCUCUUGGGUUGCCUAGUUAGUAUUUCAGUUGUUGUUGUUGUUGUUAUUUUAUUGCAUGUAAAUUCUGUGUUUACAUUAUAUGUUGCAUAAGUUUAGUGUUUGACGUCAUAAACAAAGGCAAAAAAUUUUGCAUUCGUAUUCAUUUCAUAUUUGACAUUCAUGUUUCAUCUACAACAUCAUCCAUCACAUGUAUCAACUAUCAUAUUACAUGUUUACAUUGUACCCAUGUUUAAAGUCUAACGUUGCAUACUUAGCUUUUGUUUUGCAUAUUUUGUGUUAUUUUUUCACAUGUAAAUUCCAUAUUUUAUGUUUACACCACAUGUUAUAUAAGUUUAGUAUUUCAUGUCAUAAAUACAGCCAAAUAAUUUUACACUCCUGUUUGUUUCAUAUUUGAUAUUCAUAUUUCAAGUAUAACAUUGUUGUCACAUGUAUCAACUACCAUAUUUCAUGUUACAUCGUACUCAUGUUUAAUGUCUAACAUUACAUAUUUAACUACUAUUUGCAUAUUUCAUGUCAUUUUUUUACAUGUCAUGUGUUACAAAUUUUAUGCUGCCUAAAACAAAUCAUCCUACAUCCUUUUUUCUUCACAUUUAAAUUUAAAAACCCGGCAAAUCGUCCCCCCACCCCUAAACCAAUGGCUAUUUUAGUUGAAAAAUAUAAAACAUAGAAACUAUAAACUUUGACAAUAAAAUUCCUGAAAAUGAACUAAUAUACUAAAGGCUUAUGCAUAACUUAUAUCUAUUCAUCCAAUUCCAAUUACCAAACAUCCCAACCUAAAUUUUAAUUGUUGCCUUAUAGCAAAAAUACUCAAAGACUGAAGAGAAAGAUGCCACCAUGAGGAAACAAUUUCAUAGAUAUUUCCAAUUAAUUGUAAGGUGGAGCUGUACUUUUGGUGAUUCCUACUUGGUAGCUUAAUUGGCUAAAACUCUUAAGUGAAUUAUUAAGUCUUCAUCUGUUUCUAGUUGAUUUAGGAAAAAAUCUUGCAUUAAGGGAUUCUUAAUUCUCUUGAUUUAGAACCAUACUCUCAUUAGAACAAGAAGUUUAUAAAUAAUUAUGUAACCAUUUAGAUUUUACCCAGUACAUAAUCUUUCUCUUUCUUUAUCUUACUGUUGAGGGGAUUUAGCAUAAGAUUUCUAGGUAUCCAACCCAAAAAACUAGCCUUUUAGGUGGAAUGACCUACCUCCUUAUAAACCCAAGUAUAUCCUCUUUUCUAGCCAAUAUAGGACACAACUCAACAAUCCCCCCCUCGGACGAAACCACCAUCGGACUCCGGUCCUUUUGUCCGACACACCUGAGUUGGUCCACCACCACAUUCCAGCUACUAGGGUCUAGCUCUGAUACCACUUGUUGAGGGGACUUAGCAUAAGAUUUUUAGGUAUCCAACCUAUUGUUGAGUUGUGUCUCACAUUGGCUAGAAAAUAGGAGACACUUGAGUUUAUAAGGAAGUAAGUCACUCCACCUAAAAGGUUAGUCUUUUGGGUUGGAUACCUAGAAAUCUUAUGCUUAGUCUCCCCCCCCCCCCACAAGGGGGAUUAAAGCUAGACCCCAGUAAUCCAAAUGUGGGGGUGGGACAACUCACUNNNNNNNNNNNNNNNNNNNNNNNNNNNNNNNNNNNNNNNNNNNNNNNNNNNNNNNNNNNNNNNNNNNNNNNNNNNNNNNNNNNNNNNNNNNNNNNNNNNNUAGUAGUCGAAAUGUGGUGGUGGAACAACUCAGUUGUGUUGGACGAAAGGAUUGGGAUCCGACGGUGGUUUCGUCCUGGGGGGGAUUGUUAAGUUGUGUUCCACAUUGGCUAGUAAAGGGGAGAUGAUUGGGUAUAUAAAGUGGUAGGUCACUCCACCUAAAAGACUAGUCUUUUGGGUUGGAUACCUAAAAAUCUUAUGCUAAGUCUCCUAACACUUACUAUAACAAUUUUUCUUCUUCAUGUUAUUUCUUGAUCUUUUCUUCUUCCAAUUUCAAAUUCAUUAAAUAUCAAUUGCAAUGUAUAUAUCUCAUCAAUUUCAAACUUAAAUAAUCAAUUAAAUAUACCGAUCAAGUAAUGCUCCACAAAAACAUGUUGCUUCUCCCCCUUCAACAUAAAAAAGGCAUAUUAUUUUGGCUUCCUCUUUUAACAGCAAAAAUGUUUAAGAUGCUUAUUACUCAAAAUAAAAACAAUGACAAAGUGGAGUUGUGAUGGCAUUUGCCUCUAUCAAUAACCAAGAAAGCAUAUAAUAUUCCAAGUAAGGGCAUGCAAAAAAUCAUAAGAGUAUAAGAUUGAACAUCAAUAUAUUCGCAAAUAGUCAAAAGGUAAGACAUUAAUUCAUCAACAAAGAUGAAUAACAUAUGUAGAGAAUGCAAGAGAAAAUGUUGGUGCGGAAAAACAAAUAAGGAAACAAGAAAGGAUCUAUAAUGGUGGCUAUGGUGGUAGUGGUGGAGGAGGAAGGCCGAGAGAUUCAAAAAUCUGCUGCUGCCCGUCGAGAAGUCAUUGGUGCUGGAGCUAAAAGGCUUUAAAUUGCGAGUAAAGGGGAUUUUGUUGCUCGGAGAUAGUACGAACCUCACGUAUCAAACCUUAUUAUUUUUUCAUACUCCAAGUAAUAAUUUAUCAUUAUUUUUUCAUUAUUUGUUAUUUUUUUAAUUUUUUAAGCGAAAAAAACUAUGGUGACAAAUUUAAAUUACCAAAAAUAACAACUUUGAGUCCAAUAGGUAAUUGGUAAGUUUUUUAUUUUAAAAAUCCAUUAACACAUAGUGUUGCUUAAAUUAUAUUGCAUUACAUUACACUCAAUUUAAAAGAAUUUGUUAGUGAAAUCAAGAGCACUCAAUUAUAAAAAGGGAAAAAGCCACGUACAUCCCCAAGGCUCGCUUAAAUGGUCACACAGACUCUCUUAAUUUCAAAAAUAAUUGUUAUACCCUUUGAUUAUAACAACCCAAAUAAAUAUAGAUAUAGUAAUGAGAUAAAAAUAAUAAAUAAAUAUCAUGUGAUAUAAAUAAAAUGAUACAGUAAGUAUAAUUAAUAAAAUAACAUAUAUAAUAAAAGUUAUUUUUAAUAAUAAUUUAUUAUUUGUCUACCCCCAAUGGAUUUUAUGAAUUUUGAAAUCUACUAAUCCAAAAUUAACUUUAAGAUUCAUACUAAAGACAUAAUUGAAAAAAAAAAAGAUAUGGUCAAUAAAAUAAUAUAAAUUUUAUAAUUUAUUGUGAAUAUUUGGUACAAUGAUUUUAAUAUUAUUAAAAUAUCAAAUAGAUUUUAUUAUUAUCAAAAGAGCAUGAUAGAAUAAUAAUGUUAAAUAACUUUUCUAAUAUUCAAAACAUUUAUAAAUUUUAUCUUAUUUUAUAUAUUAUAUUAUAUUAUAUUAUAUUAGUUUUAUUUUUAUUUAUAUUUGUUACAAAAGUUUAUUUAAGGUCAAUUAUUGGGUUAUUGUAAUUGAGGGUAUAAUAGUCAAAAGGGGUUCGGUGUAAAAAUUUAUAAAACUAAAAGAGGCUAUGUGACAAUUUAAGCAAAUAUUGGAGGUGUAUGUGGCCUUUCCCCUUAUAAAAAUAGAAAAAAUAAAAGCAAAUUAAUAUAAACAAAAUCUCCCCAAAAUAUGAACAUUAUAUAAUCCCAUUAUAAGCUAAGAAUAAUUUCAUCAAAAGCUUGUAAAUGAAACCUAUAAACAAAGGCAUCUCAAGACUCUGUAAUUAAAAAAAAUAUGCAUAAAGAAGAGUUAGGGUAUGCAUGUCAUACAUGAAUUAAUUUUCAUCAUCGUUUUCCAUUAAUGUCUUGAGCAAUGGAGGCUUUCCCUCAUCAUUAUCAUUAAGAAAAAGGUCUCGACCUGUUCUCCUAAAUAUGAAGUGAAUGAAAAAAUUUACAAUACCGAUAUUCAGCCCACAAUAAGCACCACAAUAAGUACCGAACGGUGCGUUUUGUGUUCAAUAUAAAAGGCUACUAUUUGAACAAACAAAUACACUACACGCGCAUUAGAUCUCACACAUGCAUUCUUCAUCACUCUCACUCUCAUUCACACCAAAUCCACUCCUCAUUCAAGUUAGAAAUCUGAACAACUAAUUCUCCCAAGGCAUUUUCUGUUAUACUCCUGGACUCUUCCUCAUUGUGUGAAAUCCGUCGGCUCUCUCUCACGGUGUAUCAUUCUCUUGGUUGUGUGAGGAAUUGAGUUGCAUCUUGGUGACUGACUUCACUCAUCGUCGAUUGCAGCAAUCAAUUUUUGUAGGUAGUUUGUUUCAUUAACUGGAAUUUUUUUGUGCUAAUUAUUAAUUUGUGACAUCUUAGCUGCUAUUAUGUUAAUUUAUAUGAUCUGGAGCAUGUUCGGCAGCCAUAGAAUUUUAUGUUAAUUGUCUAGUAAUUAUGGAUGAUUAUGCAACAAAACAUGAUCUAGAGCAUGAUUGGCAACCAUAGAAUUUUAUAAGUUUGAUUUGCAAGUCUAGCCUUAAGUAGGAUGCAGCAAACAUUCAUGUGUAUUACAAAGUUAAUAGUAAGCAUGAAAUAAAUAAAUAUAUAUUGCAGAUUCAGCUAGUAUAUAUUAAAUUUGUGUUCACAAUUUAUAUCAUUAGUUAGUUUAGUUUUGUAAGGUUGUGCUGAAUUAUUUUCAUUUUGUUACUUCCAUUUUGUCAAUGUGAAUUAUUUCAAUUUUGUAGAAAUAAAGAAUAUGGAAAAGGACAUUGAAGUUGAAGAGUUGGAGAAAAUUGAGGAGGACGAUGAGCCAAUAAUUGGGAUGUCAUUCGAUAGUGAUACCGAUCUGUUUAUUUACUUCAAGGAGUACGGUAAAAGAAAAGGGUUUCCGGUUUUGAGGAGAACUAGUAGAAAGGAUAGUAAUGGGUUCUUAGAAAUGUGACUUUUGCUUGUAGGAGAAAUGGUGAGACAAGAAGCAAAUCUGUGAAUAUUUUAAAGCCCCAACCUAAUGCAAAAACAUGCUGCAAUGCAAGAUUGGGAGCUGGGUUAGGGGAUGAUGGAAAGUGGACAAUUCGAAGCUUAAAUCUUGAACACAACUGAUUAGUAUUAAAAAUUGUUUAAUUAUUAUUUUGUGCUUAUGUUAUAAUUUAUAUUUGUGUUUUUGUAAUAUAUUAAGAAUUAUUAAUUAUGUUUUAAAUAUAUUUAAUUUUAUAUAUUUUUAUAUAUUUAUUAGGUAAAAUAUUAAUUUCCCGUAAUUCGAGGCUCCAAAUAGAUAAACGGAGGUCAAAUUUGGAUUCUGGAGGUUCGAAAACCUUAAGAUCAAUCAAGAUCGGCUUAAAAUUAGGCUUGUGUAAAAAAAAUUGACUUUUUUUGUUGACCGACCACUGAUUGGAUGAUGAAAUGAGCUUACAAUAGAUAUGAGUGCACGGGAUAGCUGGAAAUUUUGACUAAAUCUCAACCAGCCAUGAUUGUGCCACGUGGCAACGGUUGGUGAAGCAAGUUGUAGGAUCCGAAUCUUUGUAUUCGGGUCGACCUGAUCCACCCAUUAACACGCCAAAUCUCAACCGUUCUUUGGCCAAAUCAGACAAGUCAAAUGAUGCCACGUGCGAUGUUAACUUUUGAAAUUUUACCAGUCGUUGGAUCUUGAUCUAAUGGUUGUGAAGAGCACAUGCAUGAAGUUUAUAAUGGACCACAAACCACUGGAUUAUGAAUUUGACACAAUAAAUCUUAACAUCUUAAUAUAAGGUAUGGUAAAAUGGUAUUUUGACUAAUUGUAGACAAAUUAAAUUUUGUCACAAUAAAUACUUAAUCCAUCAUAAAAUUAAAGGAAAAAUAAUAAUAAUUUAUAUAAUUAAUCUUUUGGGCAAUAAAUCUAAAAAAAAUAGAAGGUUUAUUUACUACUAAGAGUGGAUCCACAACUCUAACUAGUUCAAUUUCAUAGUUUCAUUUAAAUUAAGUUGUUUAUAUUCAAGUUUAAAUUUCAAUUUUUAGUUAAAAUAAAUAAACAAAUUAAAUCUUUUCUCCGUGGAUCGACCUCGGACUCACCAAGCUAUAAUACAAUAAGACACUCUUAUACUUGGGAGUUAAAAAUUACUUUUAAGUUGUGUCAACAACCAUGCACUGUUAACUCCAACCAAAUCCAUGUGUUUUCGGUGCAAUCAUAGCCUCAAUACAUAUGCAAAAAGGAAGCUUGAUGUAAAUGAUCGAGCAUGAAUCAAAUGGUGCAAAAAUUAUCAAUCACUUGUUAUUGAGGCUGGCGGUCAUGAAAAUGUGACAUUCAUAGAAAGAGAUUGUAUAAAUCGUGUUCAAAAAGAAAGAAGAUUACGGCUUGGAGAUGGAGAUGUUACUACUCUUCAAAACUAUUUUAUGAAAUUACAAGCAGAAGAUAAUAGGUUUUACUUUAGUAUGCAAGUGGAUGAUGAGGGACGAUUAAAAAAUAUUUUUUGGGCCGAGACAAGGAAUAGGGAAGCGUACAAAGAGUUUGGAGACGUUGUUACAUUUGACGCCACGUAUCUUACAAAUAAGUAUGACAUGUCGUUCGCUCCAUUUAUAGGAGUUAAUUAUCAUGGGCAUUCUAUUUUGUUUGGGUGUGGAUUGAUUUCACACGAAGAUAUUGAGACAUUCACGUGGUUACUUCGAACAUGGCUAUCCUACAUGUCUAAUUCAGAUCCCAUUAGAAUCAUUACAGAUCAAGACAGGGCAAUAAAAGUUGCAAUUCAGAAUGUCUUCCCCAAUACUCGACAUCGGUGGUGUUUAUGGCACAUAAUGAAGAAAAUUCCAGAGAAGCUAGGGGCUUAUAAAGAAUAUCGUGACAUUAGUAAUGUGUUGCAUUGUGUUGUUUAUGAUUCCCAGAAUGCUGCGAAAUUUGAGGAAACUUGGCACCACAUGAUUGUAGAAUAUGAUUUGGAGGAUAAGGAAUGGUUACGAGGCUUAUAUGAUGAGAGGCAUCAUUGGGUACCUUGUUAUCUAAACAAUAAUUUUUGGGCAGGAAUGUCAUCUACUCAACGCAGUGAGAGCAUGAAUGCAUUUUUUUAUGGUUAUGUUAACUCAAAGACUACUUUGAAGCAGUUUGUAGAGCAAUACAAUUGUACGUUGAAGAAUGAAGUUCAGAAGGAAGUUGAAGAAGAUGUCAGGUGUCUUUCCCAACAAAUGCCAUGUGUAACAUCUUAUGCAAUGGAGAGGCAAAUCCGAGAUGUGUACACUAUUUCAAAAUUUCAAGAAUUGAUUAGGAAAAUAUAUUGCGAAUUUGUCAAUUCUAUGGGUUAUGAAUAUAUAGUUAGAGAGGAUGUCAAAGUUGGAGAGGGUAAAAAGAGAACAUUUUUUUAAGUACAUUUUGAAAAAGAAAAUGGUGAAAUACGUUACAGCUACUCAAGGUUCCAGUUUAGCGGUAUUCUUUGCAGGCAUGCCAUUACAAUCAUAAUCCGCAAUGACGUGGAAUACUUCCAGAAAAGUAUAUUCUACGAAGAUCGAGAAAAGAUGUGUGGAUAUGCCAUAGUAGAGUGAAAACGAGUUAUGAGCUGCAUAGUUGCACAGAUGAACAAAAACGAUAUGAGAAAAUGUGUACUACUUUCACGAAGGUUGCAAAUAUGGUUGCACAUAAUAUUGAAAGCUCUAAUCUUGUUUUCAAUUGGAUUAAGAACGUAUAAGAGGAUUUAUCGAAGGCAGUUCCAUGAGAAGGUAACAAAGUAACUAUUGUUACAGGCCAAGGAAGUUGUAGCGUGGAAGUAGAAACAGUUAGAGAUCUAGUAGCUCGGCCUCGUAAAGGUCGGCCACCUUGUCAAAGAAAAAAGUCUAAUAAAUUUUCGAAAUCUAAAAUGAAUUCCUCACGUUCCAAUGCAAAGGUACUUUAAAAAUGUAUUUUCAAUUUAAUUAAAGUUAAAUAAUUUAUGAGAUAAAUGAUGCUCAAAUGUACGUUUUGUUGACUUUGCAAGAUAACGAUCAAGUGCCGAUUGUGAUCCCAACACACAAGAACAAUGUUGUUACGGUAGGUUUUAUGGAAUUCAUAGGCAUGCCAUUGAUUUUUAUUACUUAAUCAUAGACAUUUUUCUAAUAACUUGUUGAUCCUCUGUAAGCAUUUCAAAAUCCUGAAGGAAGUUGUAUUGAUAUGAAUAUGUACCCACAUGGAGUUAUGGACUAUUGUAAUGUAAGUUUUUCACACUAUACGUUAUGAUUUUUUUUUUAAUUAUCGCUUCAUUUAACGUAUGUUUGGUUUAAGGUCUUAUGAGCUUACAUCAUAUGGUUGGGGAUAAUGUUUAUCCAACACCUACAUAAAAUUCUUAUACGGUAAGUGGUGAUAAAUUUAGUAUUUACUCAUCUUAUCUACUUUAUUUUCUUUUAUUAUAACAAAAUAUUUAGUUUUUCUUUUAAUAAGAACCACAAUUCCAGCCGCAUGGACAUUUUCACCAACUACUCUUUCAGCAAGAUAGUGAAUAUGAAGUUGAUAAGGAGUUUCGAAGUGAUUUUGUAGAAUAGCAUUGUUUUUGUUUUAUUAUCAUUAAUAAUAAAAAGGGCAAGCCCUUGGCUAUGAUAUGUGAGCUUGUGGAUUUCAUACAUUAAUUUAUUUUUGUAAUGGUAUAUUUUUCUUGUAAUGGCAUAUCGGUGGUUUUUAACUAUGUGGUAUUGGAAUAUUGGUGUACACUAGUAGGUUUUAAGCAUGAUCAUUUAUUAGAUUUAUAUGCUGCAAAUGUGUUAUUUUUUAGUCCUGUGCUAUUGGAAUGGUGGAGGGGUCUGUUGCAGAUGUGUUAUUCUUUAAUUGUGUGCUACUGGAAUGGUGGAGGGAUAUGCUGCAUAUGUGUUAUUCUUUAAUUGUGUGCUACUGGAAUGGUGGAGGGAUAUGUUGCAUAUGUGUUAUUCUUUAGUUGUGUGCUACUGGAAUUAAGGGAUAUGCUACAGAUGUGUUAUUCUUUAAUUGUGUGCUACUGUAAUGGUAGAGGGAUAUGCUACAGAUGUGUUAUUCUUUAAUUGUCUCCUAAAGAAUAAAUGUGUUUUUAAUUUGCAGCAGUUAUCAGUAACUUCAAAUAUAAUAUAUAAGUCAACUGACAAAACAAGAGAAGCAAAUAUAUUAAUAAGAGAAACUAAUAUGUUAACAUUAUUGUUGCGAACAAUAAUUUACAUCCACUGAAGCAUUCAUGAUACAGUUCACAAAAAAUGAAAGAUAACAAUACAUUAGUUAAUUACACAACUUAAAUAUAAUACAUAUUAAAGGAGUUAUCAUUAUUUGUAGGACGUAUGUUACAAGAACAUUUGGUUGUCGUCUUCGUUGAAGUUCUUUCUCAAGCAAUUGAAAUUUAAGAGAUAAGCAUUCGAUUUGAUGCCCUAACUUGCGGACUUCUGUUAACAACAUGUCAAUUUUAUUCUGGUUUAUAUUCCGAUCUUCCAUCCCUCUAAAGUCAUUACAUUCACUGCUCUUCCGAUCAUCAUCCUAUUCAAAGGCCUCACGUCAUUUGCACUACCAAAACUUAUGAUUCGAAUUUUCUUUUGUACGUGAAGUUCACAAGACCUUGUUACUGUUGCAGCAUUUAUCACAAGUUUUCAGUUGUGUUUGAAUUUUGCUUGUGCUUGAAGACAUAAUGAUUGAACAAAUUCUGUUCAAUAUACACAACAGCCCAUAAUGAUUGUCAAGGUCACAGCACAUAAUGCAUAUAAACAGCAUCGACAACAUGAUUCUUCUCCAAUAUAAAUAGCACAUAUUGCAUAAAAACAACACAAAAUGAUGAUUCUCAAAUCAAAGCUCAAGCCUAGCAAACAAAGGUAAUACCAGUGUAUAAGUUUCCUUUUAGGAUUAUCAUCAGAAUAAGCCCUUGCACAUUAUAGAACACACUGCAAAUAUAAAUUUCUCAAAUAACGGAAGCUCAUAGCAGCUGCUGCUAUAUCAUUUUGACAAAAUACAGUAACAAUUUCAUAUGGAUUGGUAUUUUAAAAACAAUGCCAUCUCCUAAGACUAUCAAUAUGCCAUCUCCAGCACAAGGCCAUCUCCUAUGACUAUCAAAAAUGCAAUUACAAAUCAAACAUAUCUAAACUAAUUUGCCCAUCAAUCCAAGUGCAAUUAAAACUCUCUCGUUGCAAAAAUUCAUAAUCAACUCACAGAAAUUUAGCAUUACCUCUACAAUUCGACUACUGCAUCAAUCCAAGGCCUACGGCAUGAGCCUUUAACUAAAAAAAAAGUAGGCACGGCACGGUACUUGGUGGGCCGUGCCGGGCCGGCCCACGAGCCCUUGUGAGCUGACCCCGACACGACCCAUUGGCCAUAGUUAGUAUCUAGUGACUGCCGAGGAUUAUGUGGAUUUAUGUAAGGAGCUAGAUAUGGAUGAGGUUAGGCGAGUGAUUUUCUCUAUUGAUCUUACUAGUGUCCUGAGUCUGAAUGGGUUAUGCAGUAGAUUUUACUAGUCAUGUUAGGACAUUAUUUACAGUGAUUUAUUAGAGGUUGUCCUUGAUUAUUUUAGAGUUUUGGAAAUGCCUAAGGGUUUUCAGAGUAUGUGCUGGUUCUUCUUCUUAAAAAGCCCUCAUCAGUUUCUUGGGUAGAUUUUCGACUAAUCAAUCUAUGUAAUGUGAGCAAUAAGGUUCUGAUCAAGUUGCUUGUGUUAAGAUUUUGUUGCCUCGUCUUAUCUCUCCUUCUUGGAGUUGUUUCGUCUCUGACAGGAUGAUCAUGAUAAUGUGCUUUUAGUUCAGGAGUUGGUUCAUGAUCUCAACUUCUGUACUCAAGGGAACAAUGUAGUGCUAAAGCUUGAUAUGGCCAAGGCUUAUAACCAGAUGUCUUGGUCUUUUAUUGCUCAGAUGCUGCGAUGUUUUGGGUUUUCAGAGUGGUGGGUCUCUUUGAUUCGAUGAGCUAUCUUUGGCUCUUGGUUCUCAUUGUGGUGAAUGGCAUCAAUCAUGGAUGUUUCUAGUCUCAGAGAGGUCUUAAGCAAGGCAAUCAUCUUUCUCUAUAUUUGUUUAUCAUUGCUGAUGAGUUUUUGUCUCAGGGCUUAGACCAUUUGUACUCUCAAUAUCCUUUUGUGCAGUAUUGUUUUGUUGCACGUAUUAGUGUCUCUCAUUUGAACUUUGCGGAUGAGGUUGUUAUUUUUGUAAAUGGGAGUUAGCUGAGCCUUCAACAGAUUAUAGAUUUUUGACAUCAUUAUGAGGCAAUUUCGAGGCAGUUGAUUGGUCAGGCCAAGAGCAGUUUCUAUAUUGAGGGCUAGACUUUUGCCUCGCACCAGCUAUUGUCCAUUUUAUUACUGGUUUCCAACGAUGUCAGCUUUCGUUCAUUUAUCUUAAGUGCCUGGUCUUUAUGGGGCAUCUCAAAAUUUCUUAUUUUGAUGAUAUGGUAUGGAAGUCCAGGGAUCGGAUCUCGGGUUAGACUAAUUGAUUGCUAUCUUUUUGUGGGAAGCUGGUGCUCAUUCAACAUGUAUUGUCCUCUAUGUUGUUUCAUUUGUUUCAUGCUCUUCUCCGUCUUGUAGCUAUGGUUCAGCACUUAAAGAGACUAUUUACUCGAUUCUUAUGAGGUGAUUCCGAGAACGAGGCAACCGAUUUACUGGUGUAGAUGGCCAGCAGUGUGUUAUCCGAUUGAGAAAGGUGGCCUUAGUAUCUGGUCUUUUGAUGAUAUUGCUAAAGCUUUUGUGCUCACGCUUUAGUAGUGUUUUCAAGAGCAGAACUCAUUAUAGGCUUCUUAUAUGAAGUCUAAGUAUUACAGAGCUACAUAUAUGAUUUAACUUUAGUUUAGUUAUCCAGUCUCUCCUCUCUGGAGAUGCCUUUGCUCCAUUCAGUGUGUUGUUGGGCCUCAUGUGCAUUGGUUGGUUAGUCAUGGAGAGUGUAGUUUUUUGUAUGAUUGUUGGCUGAGCUCUUGUCCUUUGGUCAUUUAUAAUCUUACAAUGGCUUUUAGGGUGUUAAUUUCCUUUUAUUGGCGGGGUACAAUAUGUGAUAAGGGUAAGCUCCAGGAUGUGUUGUCUUUUUCUAUUGUUGAGUAAAUUUUAUUGGUUCCUAUUUCUAGUAAGGAGCCAAAUUUGAUUCAAUGGGAUCUUGCCUCUGAUGGCAUUUUUCAUUUGUAGACAGUUUAGGAGCUUGUCUAUUGUUCUAGGUCGAGGGAUGAGGUUUUUCGAGUAUCUGGCAACAACAUAUCCCGUCUUAAUUUUUUUUUAGUGAUUUAUUGCAUGAUUUUUUGGCUACUAAUGGUGCAUUGUGCUUGAGGAGUUUUUGCAUAGUCUCUUAGUGUGUUUGUGGUCGAGUUAUUGAGACUUUUCGACACUUAUUUAUUAAUUGCCCAUUUCGCUAAGUUUGGGCUCAUUUUCUUCAUAUUUUGGGUAUGAAAGAUGUUGCUUUUUUUAACCCCCUCCCCCAUGCUUUGCUUCUUCAUUGGUGGUGGUAUGUCCCUUCUCGAAGUCACCUUCAGACACUACUACAAAAAAGAACAUAGAUGACAUUUAAAUUAUCUUUAUGAUGACAAAGUAAAAUUAGUCAUAUUUGCAACAGUCAUCUAACAUGAGGUACAAAAGAUGACACGUAAAGAGAGUCAUCUAAUAAGUAUUAUAGAUGACUCAUUUCUUAAAAAAACAGUCAUCUGAUGUUGUAAAAUAACUAUAUUUUCUUCAAGUAUAAAUGACUACCUUUAAGUAAUAGACGUCAACAAUAGUCGUCACUCUAAUAUGAAUAGAUUACUAAUGAUAUGAAAUGGUUGUCAUUAUUAUUAUUAUUAUUAUUAUUUAUGCUUACAUGUAAUGUAAUAAAUUUUUUGAAGACCUAUAGUGUAAAAAUAAAAAUUCACCAAGCCAUUGCAUGAAUCAUAUAUAAAUCUAGUACGUUACAAACAAUACUAAUAAAAUAUUACAAUUUCAAAAUUAAAGGAACUAGAUAUCAAUAACUCUUUUUUUCUAAAAGAAAAAUAUUACAUUCUUCAAAGGAAUGACAAAAUGCGGCCAUCUUGUUGGCUACUCCAGUAAUCAUGCCAAAGCCAGAUAGAGUUUGAGAGUAAACCCUUUUGACGAACCUUACUUGAUUACAAUAUCGAAAUAAUUGAAAUAAUUCCUUUUAAUGUCUUAUUCGAAACAAAGACAAUAACAAAGAUAUGAAUAAAAUAAUAUUAUUCAUUUACUAACCUCUCAAAGUCAUUGUGCUAUUAAAUUUAGCGAAAAUAUUCUUCCAUAUGUACUUUGCCUACUCCAUUCUUACUUCAUUAAUAUCCUUUUAGGUGCAGUUGUCUCAUCCAACAAACUAUAUAUCAUACAAAAAAUAGUCAAUACUAAUACAUGCAUCAACGUUAUGAAAUCUAUAAACUUUAAAAGGAUAAGGAAAUGACUACCACGUUUUUUUAUUGAAUCAUCUUAGCUUUCAUUAAUUUCCUUCAUAAACCUAAUGACAUAAUUCAACACGUAUAGUUUGUUGAGGACACUACACAAGAAUUUUGAACUAAUUAAUGACAUGUGCAUAUGUAAAGAAAUUUAAAUUGAACAUAUAUAUGUACAGUUUCAUAUACCUUAACCUUCUUCAAAACAAAGGAUUUUCGAUCUGCAUUUCCCAUUUUUGCCACAAAAAUCUUGAAAGCACUUAAGAUAUAAUUAGAUAUACACAUUUAGUCAUGUUUUACUACAUGCAUUAGAAUUGAUAAUAACUUACAGUGAUACAAAAUUCUUCAAAUCAAUGUGAGGUUCAUGACCAAGUGAAUCAAUAUACUAUGAAUAUGUGUGUAUCCACAACAAUCAACAUCCAAUGUUCGCUAUAUAUAAUGAUAAAUAUCAGUCUUGCAUAUUUUUGUAAAAGAAAAAGAAAAUAAACUCCAAAUGCUAUAUACGACCAAUAAAAUAACAAACCCGGUAUUGUAAGGAAAUAUCAUAAUCUAUUCUGGAUCAAGUAUUUCCAUUCUUGAUACAUUGCACGAGCUCUAGUCUCACCAUUAUCUCUAGUUUCAUGAAACAAUUUUCAAGGAUUACCAAAUUUAUAAAUGUGGUCCAAGUAAGGGUCCUGCAAGACCUCAGAAAGAUGACAAGGGAAAACAAGUGAUAAUUACUACACUGCAUACAUAAAAAUUAUAUCUAAUUAUGCUUGCUAAGAAAAUAACUAGUUUAAUUACUUCAUGUAACAAGUUAUUGUUGCGACCCCAAUUUUUUCCAUGCUAUAGAAUUGUACGAUGUCGUCAAUUGAUAAAUAAAUUCGGCUUGUUCAUUACCAAAGAUCCUAGGAUAAAUUUCAAUCAAUAAUGCUUUAGUCAACACUUGCGAGUGUACUUGCAAAGGGCAUCUAUUCUUGUUGGCACUUUGUAUUCUUGCACAUUCUUAAUGGAUUACUUUAUAUAACUAGAAUAACAAAAAAUAGUAUUAUUAUUAUUAAUUUAUGAAAUAUCAAAGACAAACAAUAAUUAUAGAUACGUACCUCAACAUCAUUCAAGAUGAAAAAUUGUUUAGGCUAAGCAACAUAGGAUCCAAUUUGAUUUCCUAUGUCCUAAUUUGAGAAAAAGUGAAAUUAUUAUCGUAGCUAAAUAAUAUCAACAAAACAUCAAUUUAUUAAGCACAUAACACAACAGAUCAAAUAAUCUUGUUGGACAUGAAAUGUCAGAGACCAAGCACAAAGGCACAACAAAUGGAUUGCUAUGGUGGUGAGCAUUUAUAUUAAUUUAGGGCUGAGCAUAUGAUAAAAUGGUUUCGUAUUUAUACCUUCCUUAAAAUAUGUAAUUAUAGACAUUACAAACUCCUUCAUAAAAUCUAAUCCCUAGAGAUAACUUUACUAUUAAUCCAUAUUGUUAAUAUUUGCUACUCAAACAUGAAUAAAUUAGGUAAAGUAAAAAAAUUGCACAUGUAGACCAUCCACAAACACACAAUCUAUUGUUUUCUUUCACAAGCACGAUUAAACAAAAGAAAAGAAAGUACCUUUAUGUGGAACUUUUAAAAUCCAAGAUUAAAGGUGGUCGAAUACUUCAAUAUUUUGCUUGAUAGUUUUGUGGUCCAAGCUUUAUAAUCUUCUCCUCAAAAUGUGUGGUACAAAGCUUUAAGAUUUCUUCUCUGUCUUCACUUCAACUAUGUGUGAAUAGUUAGGGUUUGCUAUUUUGGGGCUGCAUAAAUAAUGGGUGAAAUUAGGGGUUUACAACUUGGAAGUAAAAGAUAAGAAGAUGUUGUGGGGGAAAGGCAAUUUUAGAGAUUAAGAUUGUGAAAUUUCAUAGAAAUGGAGGCAAAGAGAGAGAGAGAGUUAGUGUUUUGUUGGAGACAAAGAAAAUAAAAGGGAAAGUUGAGUUUUUAUACUUGAAAAAUAAAUGAAAAAUUUUUAAAAGUAAGAGUCACCUUUUAUUUAAUUAGAGAUGACUUAUUAUUUAGUUUGUGAGUCAUUUUUAUAUCAUAAGUAAAAAUUAUUUUAUAAUAGAUGACUUUCAAAAAUAAAUAUAAGUCAUCUAAACUAAUAGAUGACAGCUAAUAGUAUACUCGUCAUGUAUUACAUGUCAUCUUUGUCCUAUUUUGUAGUAGUGAGAUCCUCCUACCUUACUUUAUUUUGUGGCAAGUUUGGAAGGGCCGUAAUGCUUUUAGGUUUGAUUUGUAAUCUGUUUCUGUUGAUGUCGUUAUCUAUUAGGUGGCAAUAGAUCUCAAGCUUGCUAGUUCCAUUUUUGGCUUUAAGCCUUCCAGCUGAGGGGAUUUUUAGGUUCUCGGAUUACAAAGGCCUUACGAGUUAUAGGUCUACCCAGGAGGUCGAUUCGAUUAGUUUCUUAGAUGAGGUCGCCUCCUGAGGUUGCGAAGUUGAUUGUGGAUAGUUGCUCUAGGGGCAAUCCUAGGAUGAUUACUUCGGGUGGUAUUCUCUGGAAUCAUCGAGAUACAGUUUUGGCUACUUUCGGAUCUUUUCUUGGUUGUCAGCCCGUAAUGCUUAUGAAGGGUUAGGGUUUGCUACUAAGCUUGGUAACUCUACGCUAAGGUGGAGUUGAACUUGGCAACGGUCAUUUCUUAGACUCAUUUCGGGGGUCUUAUUCGUUGGGAUUAUGGUAUUUCAUUGUGUCGGGUGUGAACUUUGAUGUCUUCCUCUCCUAUUUUGGUUAGGCAUUUACUUCGUGAGACUACUUUUAAUGUUGAUUUUCUAGCCCAUUGGGCAUUCACUCAUCGGGUUAGUAAGUGUUUCUUGUGUUCCCAAGAUUUUCCUGCAAGCUUAUCUAGCAUUCUAAAUUUAGAUGUGCAGGCUAUUCCCCACGUCAUAUGCUAACAUUGAUGGCUUUCCUUAUUUUUUUCAUCCUUCUCUUUUUAUUCUUGUGUAUUUUUGUGUAUUUUCAUUUACUUUAGGAGAUUUUGGUUUGUAUCUCCUUCUUUACGUAUUUGUUCCAUUACUAAUUUUUGUUACAGGUAAGAGCCCACCUAAUCCCCCACCUCUUGAUGGUUUUUAUCCACAAAAAAAAAGUAAUAACAUCCAAAAUUACAGUACGCAUAAUCUCAGGAUGCCUUGUCAUCUUCCAUGCUUCGAACCAUGUAAUAAGGAAAUUGUACGGUAGUGGAAGUCUGUGUUUUUGAAAAAUAAAAAACAAAUAAUGCAACAUAAUUUUAGUAAAAGCAUUAUAUAGGUUUACAAUAGAGAUGACUGAUCAAUGACAGACAACACAAGAAUGAAAUUUUUAAGUUAAAAAUCUACUCGAAAGCUUAAACUAAUAGCUAAAGAGUCAGCAGCUAUGUUCAAGCUCUAACAAAGCCCCUUAACAUGAUCAAACAAAACCAUAACCAUAACCACAACCACAAUCACGACUUAAGUCGCCAAUUUAUUAAAAAUAUUAAGCUAAUAGGAAAAUGACAUAAUUUAUGAUAUUUAAUCUCUAAUAUAAAUAAUGUAAAAGUUUUUAUCACCACCAAAUUAAAACAUGAAUGCAUCAAAACUACUGGAAAAUGUUUCAAUAUACAGUAAUAUCAUAACUUUAGCCUAAACACAGUGCCAAGUAGUCUGACUUCAGCGUAGAGCUCUUAAACCAUUGUAGAAAGCAAAAUUGCACCAAAACUCAUAUUCUAGCCGAAAUCAUAAGCCAUAUGUGUGUUGUGACCAUUGAUACAGUGGAAUUAUAGUUGACUCUGUGUAAAUCCUCGCCGGAUCAAAGAUUGUCCCUAGUGAAUCCAAACAAACUACAGUAGAGCCCAAAACAAGGAAACGACAUUUCUAAAAAAAAAAGUACUAAUACCCUUGAAAUAAUAACACUCCAAAAAUAAAAACAAAAAGGUAGGAGAAUUUGUUGACAAAAACAACCAAAAAUAAAAAUAAAACCUUUCAAUGUUUUGAGGAGUUUCGCUCGCAGCUUGGGCUUUUCACGGCAAUGAUUCCAGUGAUGACUAUGACAAUCAAGGUUGAACAACUGAUGGUGAAGACCAUGCAUCGUGCAAUAGGAGCAAUGAUUGCCGGUCGAAAAAGCAGAGCUCUGUCACUCUCUCUCCCAGUCUCUCUCGUGUGCAAACAAAAUACCGAUUGAUGGAUUGGAUUAGUUGUUUGGUUUGAGCAAGAUAGAGGCUUCGAUUUUAUGUGAACAGUAAAGAAAUCGAAGAGAGAAAUUAGGGAUUUGAGAGAGAAACGUGAUUUCAAGUGAUGAGCAAAGAAAUUCAAUAAGAGAAAAUUAGGGUCCGUUCGGUAUCGUUUUAUAAGAAGUAUUUUCAUUUUCGUCUCUUACUUCAAGUGUAAUCCAUGAACAAAUUACAAGUAAACUAUGAAACACGUAAAACAAGAAACCAUGUGAUAGUAAUAAAUAGGAAACAACUUUAACAUGUUUUGACUAUUCUACAGAAAAACUUAUAGAAUAAAUUAUAAAAUUGAUUCUUCAUAUUUGCAGGCACAUGAUAAAUCCAUUUUUAUCAUCUUCAUCUAUAUUUUCUUUCCCAUUUAUCAGCGCAGAUGAUUCUUCAUUUUUCUAACAUUUAUCUCUACUUUCUUCUUCUUCUGUAGCUAGCUACUUUAUUCUUCAUCUUUCACCCUCAUAUCUUAUUUUCUUCUUUUAGGAUCAAAUUUUCAAGUAUUUUUGUAAAUUUUCACUCUAAUUUCUUUUUUCUCGUACAUAGCCCUGCUUAAAUUUUUGGGUUGAUCUAACAUUUUUUUUGAGUACCUAUCUUUAUUUUUUCAGUUCUUGCACUACUAUUUAUAGAUUAUAUAAAUAUAUACUAAUUUUAGCAUAUGUUAUUCCCUUAAACUCUCUCGCAAGUGGGCAAGUCAGGUCUCUAUCUCCCGUCCUGUAUGUUCUUAGUUUUUCUUUUCCCCCCGUCCUUAAAAGCACGUGGGUGAGAGUUGUAGGGUUCUGGCAUUUGAGAGUAUGCCUGGCCAUAUUGUGUUGCUGCACUUAUUCUUUAAAUAAUAGAAAAUAAAUAAAUUAUUUAUUUGCUUGUUAUGGAGAAGACAUAACAAAACAGUAAUUGGAGAAGACGGGGUGUAAUUAUGGUAAUAUUAUCUAUUUUAAAAUUUUAUCGCUAACUUAUUUAUGGUAGGUCUAUAUUUAUUUAAAAAUUUAAUUGUAGCUAUGAAGAUUAUACGAAUUAAUUUUAUAUUAUUUUCAUUAUUUCAAUUUUUUAACUAUAAUUAUGACUUGAAUGUUUAUUAAAAAUUGUUUCUAAAGAUAAUAUCACCAAACAUAUAUUCAAUUUCAAAAUACAAUAAUUUUAAAACAUCAUUUUCAUUCUCAUUUUUGUAUUACUUUUUAAAUAUAAGUAUGACAAUAAAUAUUUAGUAAAAAUUAUUUUUAAAAAUAGUAUUACCAAAUAUAUAUUUAUUGUUUUUAUAGUUUUCAAUUUUGUCUACUGAUACAUAUUAAUUUUUUUUAAUUUUAAAAUACAUGAUACAAAAAAUAAUAUCAUACGCAUGCUUAAAUUCAAAAUAGAAUAACUGCAAGACAUUAUUUUUAUUUUUAUUUUUAUUUUCUGUUUUUAAAAAAUAUUAAUUCAAAAACAAUACCAAACAAGCACUUUAGUUGAAUCCAACGGUUUGUUUUAAACUUACCGCAUUGUAGUAGGGUAGUAGCAGCCUUUCCUUUUUUUUAAUGUAUUAUAAAUUUUUUUCUUUUUAAAUCUCGCCCAUUGUCCACUUAACUAUUUAUUUAACUACUCCGGCGUGUGAUUUUUUAGAGUUACUGUGGUAACUGUUGACAUAUCCUAUUACGUUAGCAUCACGUGUUUUGUGAGGCCCACAGAGAACACCUAAUUGCCCAGCUAUUACCGGUUGCAAUUUUUUUUCCAAAAAAAAAAUAAAUAUAAAUUGUUGGCUUGGCAACUAACCCAAUCAAUAGAAAACGAGAGUAGACGAGAAAUGGCGGGGACAGUGAAGAGAAUCAAGCUAGGUUCACAAGGUCUAGAAGUUUCAGCACAAGGCUUAGGAUGCAUGGCAUGUCCGCCUUCUACGGGCCCCCGAUGUUAGUGAAUUAGAUGAAGCUGGAGCAGAGCAUGAUGUUGCUGUGUAGCUGGAGCAGAGCAUGAUACAGCUGGUUGUAGCAGAUCAAAUCAUUAAGCUGACCUGUCAAAGUUAGUUAGCUGGUUGAGCUGAUGUGUCAAGUUAGUUAUACAGCAAAUGAUUGUGUUGCAACAAUCUCGUGUGUGUUAAGAGAUUGUAGCUCAAUAUAAAUAUCAAUCUGUAUUCAUUAAACAGUAAGUUUUGGAAUAAUAAAAGAUCUAAUAGAUUUCUUUGUAAAGCUUUUCUUUUAUUUUCUUUCAUUUUCCAACCUACCAAACAAUAUAAAACUAAGUUUCUUUCAUGGUAUCAGAGCCAUAAAUGGCAAAUAUAGUUCAAAACAACAACUCCUUCAGUUUUGUUACGCCAGUAAAGCUAGAUCAAAACAACUUCAUUAUGUGGCGCACACAAAUUUUAACUUCAAUCAAAGGAAAUGGUUUGGAAGGGUUUAUCAAUGGCGAUCGAGAAUGUCCUGAGCAGUUUCUUUCUUAUGGAAACAACAAUGGAGCUGAAGUUUUAACUGAAUUUGGAUCUAGAUCUAUUAAUCCAGAAUUCGUAGCUUGGAUGAAAACUGACCAACUCUUACUGAGUUGGAUGAUGUCAUCGAUACAGCAAAAUCUGCUUGCAACUGUGAUUGAUUCUACAACUUCAAAACAGCUUUGGGAAACUCUUGCUAGUAUAUUUAUCUCUCAAUCACAAGAUAGAAUUCAAACACUUAGAAUGAAGAUUCAAACUAUUAAGAAAGGUGCAAUGCAUAUGUCUGAGUAUUUUGUAAAAGUAAAACGCAUAGCUGAUACUUUAGCUCUAGCUAGAAAACCUAUUGAGUUAAAUGAUCUUGUGAUGCACAUAUUAACUGGUCUUGAUUCUUCAGACUAUGAGUCUUUAGUCACUGCUGUGUUAGCUCGAGGUGAAAAGAUCACAUUAGAUGAACUAUAUUCUUUGUUGUUGAAUCAUGAAAAUAGAGUUGAGCAAAAGAAAGGAAAAUUGCUGGUGAUGUGAUGCAUGACAUGACAGCAAAUUUUGCUCAGAAGAACUCUUAUGCUGGAAAGAAUAAUGGAAAUUUUCAGAAAAAUUAUGGAAAUAACUAUGGAGGUGGUAAUAAUUCUGGAUAUGGAGGUUUUAAUGGAUAUGGAUAUGGUCAGUUUAAUACUGGUAGUAAUUCCUCUGAAGUUGUUUGUCAAAUUUGCUUCAUACCUGGUCAUGCUGCAAAUAGAUGCAGGAAUAGGUACAACUCAUCCUUUGUUCCACAGAGGAAUCAUGGUAGAGGCAAUAUGAAUGGUGGCAGAGGUUUUAAUCAAGGGCAAUAUGGUAGAGGAAGAGUAUAUAAUGGUAAUAGUGGAAGAGGUUUUGGAGGUUUUGGUUCAAAUGCUGGUUUUGGACAAAAUGCUAGUUUUGGUCAUGCACCCAGGGGUUCUGUUUAUCAAGGAAAUAUAGUGUAUCCAGAUAGCAAUCCUUCUGCCUAUUACUCUUUCACUCUUGGAUCAUCUAAUUUUGUUGUUGGUCAAGGAAACAAUAAUCCUGGACAGUCAAGUGCUUCAUCUUCCUCAGCUAUGUCUUCUUCACUUCCAGAACUCAUUGAAAAUCCUUCCUGGUACAUUGACAGUGGAGCCACAAAUCACAUUACUAAUGAUCUAGGUAAACUUCUAGAUUCACAAGCUUAUACUGGUACUGAAAAGUUAUUUGUUGGGGAUGGAAAUGCAUUAGCUAUUACACAUAUAGGAUCAGUUGUGCUGAAUACUUCAAAUUCUCAAUCUUUAUUUCUUAACCAUGUUCUUCAUGUUCCCUUUAUUACUAAGAAUUUACUUAGCAUCUCCAAAUUAUUGGCGGACAAUCCUGUUACUGUUGAAUUUCUUGGUGAUUUCUGUUUUAUAAAGGCCAGGAACACAGGGAAAAUUUUACUUGAAGGUGUUGCUAAAGGUGGCUUGUACAGAGUCUCUUCACAUGCUGCUGCUCACUCAGUUUUUCUCAGUUCAGUUGGUCAAAACAAAAUUCAGUCUCUUUUCGCUUGUUUUCCUAGUUUUACUUCUAAUAAGUUUUCUGCUGUUAGUUCUUCUGAUAAGCUGAAUAAAAACUCAUGUCUGUCAGUUGUUGCAAAUGGUUUAACUGAUGUAAAUCUUCUACAUAGAAGAUUAAGACACCCUGCUCCUUAUACUCUCAAAACCAUACUCAAAGCUUGUAACAACUUUACUGCUCUUGAUAAAGCUGAAAGUUUGAAAUUUUUUUCAGCAUGUCAAUAUGGGAAAAAUCAUAUGCUGCAUUUUGAUUCAGUUGAAACAAAAACUUCAGCACCUUUACAACUAAUAUAUGCAGAUCUGUGGGGUCCUUCUCAUGUUUGUUCUACCCAAGGAUAUACCUACUACCUGUCAAUCCUAGAUGAUUACAGUAGGUUUACCUGGAUAUUCCCUUUAUCAGCAAAAUCUGAUGCUCUUGAAGUCUUUAAAAAUUUCAAAACAUUCAUUGAAAAGCAUCUUCAACUUGCAAUCAAAACUGUCCAAACUGACUGGGGAAGGGAGUUCAGAUCUUUUUCCUCAUUACUCACUACUUCUGGUAUCCAUUUUAGACAUCCUUGCCCACAUAUUCAUCACCAAAAUGGAAGAAUUGAGAGGAAACAUAGACACAUAGUUGAUGUAGGUCUGACUUUAUUAGCUCAAGCUCAUUUACCACUCAAAUUUUGGUGAAAUGCAUUCCACUCAGUAGUCUAUUUGAUAAACAGACUUCCAACUCCAGUUCUAAAUAGCAUUUCUCCUUUCCAAAAGCUGUUUCAUUAUCAACCAGAUUAUUCAACACUUAAAACUUUCGAUUGUGCUUGUUAUCCAACACUCAGACCAUACAAUAGAUAUAAGUUUGAUUUCAGAACUGCUAGAUGUAUAUUCAUUGGCUAUAGUUCACAACAUAAGAGAUAUCUGUGUCUUCAUUCUUCUGGAAGGGUCUAUAUUUCCAAUCAUGUCACCUUUAAUGAAAAUUCAUUUCUUAUGAGUCUGGGGUAGAUUUUUCUUCAACCUCUUUAAGCUGUCAGUCCCCAUCACACUCUGAGUCUUCUUUUAAGUCUUCCACUUCUUCUGUUACUCAAUUACAAGCACCUUUAGCAGCAUCAUCAGCACCUCAACCUACUGAUCAUCAGUCUAAUGCUUCUAUUUCCUUCCCAAACUCUACUCCAGUUUAUUUUUCUAAUAACUCCAACUCAGCUUCUUCUUUCUCCUCUUCACAUUCCUCACCUCCCCAUACAUUGCCACAACCUGCACCAUCUGGUCAUCCAAUGGUAACCAAAUCAAAAUCAGGUAUUUUCAAGCCAAAAGUGUAUUUGUUAGCCUUGUUAGCCCAGCAAUCAGAACCAACUUCUGUUUCCAAAGCACUCUCUGAUCCUAUGUGGUAUAAAGUUAUGCAAGAAGAGUAUCUAGCACUUACAACUAAUCACACCUGGGAUUUGGUUUUACCUGCUACUCCAGUAAAGAUAGUUGGUAACAAGUGGGUGUUUCGAAUAAAGUAUAACUCAGAUGGCUCGGUUUCAAGGUAUAAAGUCAGGCUUGUUGCAAAGGGGUUUCAUCAGACACAUGGGGUUGACUACACAGAAACCUUCAGUCCAGUGGUUAAAUCUUCAACUAUCAGGGUUAUUCUCAGCUUAGCAAUGUUGCACCACUGGGUUAUUAGGCAAGUGGAUGUUAAUAAUGCCUUCCUCAAUGGCAUUUUAAUUGAAGAUGUGUACAUGGCUCAGCCUCAAGGUUUUGUUGAUUCAACUAAACCUAAUCAUGUUUGCAAGCUGAAUAAGGCUUUGUAUGGUUUAAAACAGGCUCCUAGAGCCUAGUUUGAUAGAUUUAAGGAUGCAAUGAUCUCCCAGUGGCAUUUUCAGCAUUCAAGGUCUGAUAACUCUCUUUUUUAUGCCUGGAACAGUGGUCAUAUAACUAUUGUUUUAGUCUAUGUUGAUGACAUUAUCAUCAUUGGUUCCAGUCCAUCACUAAUUCAGCAAACUAUUCAUAAUAUGCAUCAGACUUUUGCUUUAAAGGAUCUGGGGGAACUUCACUAUUUUUUAGGGAUUGAAGUCAGCAAGUCUUCCAAAGGGGUUUCCUUGACACAAGCAAAGUACAUUGUUGAUGUUCUGGACAAACAUGGCAUGACUAAUUGCAGUCCUGUGCCAACUCCAAUGUCUAUAGGUUAUUAUCUCACCAAAGACUCAGGGGAGCCAAUUGACAAUGUUUCUCAAUACAGAAGUGUUAUAGGAGCCCUUCAGUAUGUUACUCUCACCAGGCCCGACAUUGCUUUUUUUGUAAACAAGUUGAGUCAGUUCCUUUCCAAUCCUAAGACUCAACAUUGGGAAGCAUGUAAAAGGUUAUUGAGGUACUUAAAAGGUACUGUCCAUCUUGGGCUGCAGUUCUACAACCAAGGAGCUCUGCAACUCCAUUAUUUUUCAGACUCUGAUUGGGCUUGUGAUCAUGAUGAUAGGAAGUCAGUAGUUGGAUUUGCUGUUUAUCUAGGUCCCAAUCUUGUCUCUUGGUCGUCCAAGAAGCAAGCUGUUGUUUCCAGAUCCAGCACAGAAGUUGAGUAUAGAUCUCUUGCUCAUGCUGCUUCAGAGGUUACCUGGAUGAAGUCUUUACUUGGUGAACUUAGCAUCAAAUUGAGCUCUACUCCUAUGAUGUGGUGUGAUAAUCAAGGAGCCAUUGCUUUAGCUUAUAAUCCAGUUUAUCAUGCUAAAACUAAGCAUGUAGAAUUGGAUAUCCAUUUCAUCCGAGAUAAAGUUACUACUAAAGAAGUUGCAGUCUGUUACGUGCCUAGUCAAGAUCAAACUGCAGAUGUGUUGACUAAAGCUCUUACUUUCAAACAAUUUAGUUACUUUCGCAGCAAGCUGAAUGUUCAUCCUAAACAUUUCAGCUUGAGGGGGGAUGUUAGUGAAUUAGAUGAAGCUGGAGCAGAGCAUGAUGUUGCUGUGUAGCUGGAGCAGAGCAUGAUGCAGUUGGUUGUAGCAGAUCAAAUCAUUAAGCUGACCUGUCAAAGUUAGUUAGCUGGUUGAGCUGAUGUGUCAAGUUAGUUAUACAGCAAAUGAUUGUGUUGCAACAAUCUCGUGUGUGUUAAGAGAUUGUAGCCCAAUAUAAAUAUCAAUCUAUAUUCAUUAAACAGUAAGUUUUGGAAUAAUAAAAGAUCUAAUAGAUUUCUUUGUAAAGCUUUUCUUUUAUUUUCUUUCAUUUUCCAGCCUACCAAACAAUAUAAAACUAAGUUUCUUUCACCCGAAGCCCAAAUCUGAUACGAUAGCCUUGAUCCACCAUGCCAUUGACAGUGGCAUCACUAUACUUGACACUUCUGAUGCUUACGGACCACACACAAAUGAAAUCCUUCCGGGCAAGGUAAUGUAAUUUAGCUUCUAUUUCCUCCCUUUAAUUUCAAAAGGGCAUGUUUGGCAAAUAAUAAUAUAGUAGCUUUGAUUAAUUUGGUUUUGGGAUUAGGCUCUGAAAGCAAGGUACAGAGGAAGAGUUGAAUUGGCUACUAAAUUUGGUAUCAGAUAUGAGGAUGGCCAGUACUCAUACUGUGGGGAUCCUGCUUAUGUAAGAGCUGCAUGUGAGGCCAGAUUAAAGCGUCUGGAUGUUGACUGUAUUGAUCUUUAUUACCAACAUCGCAUUGACACUAAAGUUCCCAUUGAAGUCACAGUUUGUCGCUUUUAAUUUUUAUAUAUUUGUCUCAAUCAUGCAUGUUAAACUAUAUUAGUUUGUUAGCCUCUGGGUAGCUCGGCUGCCAAUGAAUAUGAAACACAGAAUAUUUAAAAAUACAGGCAUGGGUCACCUCGGUGGGUGAGGUUUCUGUUAUUACGUACUAAUUCUUUUACUUGUGUUGUUUCGUAAGAUUGGGGAACUCAAGAAACUAGUUGAAGAGGGUAAAAUAAAGUAUAUAGGUCUAUCGGAGGCUUCUGCUUCAACAAUUAGACGAGCUCGCCAUCCAUCCAAUAACAGCUGUGCAGUUGGAAUGGUCCUUGUGGUCACGAGAUGUGGAGGAAGAGAUUGUUCCUACUUGCAGGUAAGGCAUUAUUUGGACCAAAUGAAUUGUUUUGACCUAGUUGAAAGGAAAAGAAAUUAUGAGUAGAUGAUUUAACAUUUGCAUGCUAACGCAAUUUUGGUGGUUGCUCUGCUCAGGGAACUUGGCAUUGGAAUUGUUGCUUACAGUCCUCUAGGAUGUGGGUUUCUUUCAUCCGGACCAAAGUUGGUUGAAAGCAUUGCACCGGAUGAUUCUAGACAUGUUCGUAAGGCUACCAUGCAUUUAUUAUUCGAUGUCUGCAAGCAUGUUUAAAACCUUCUCUCAAGAUACUCUACACUGACUUGCAUACUAUUUUAUCUUAUAAACCUCUGAAAUUUAUCUAGAGCCAUAGUUAUAGUUAUUCUAACCUAACCCAGGAGGACUUGUUUAAGAAUUCUCUUUCUUAGAUAUUCUACUAGUUCAUUUCGAUCGUCUAAUUACACUGAAGUUGCCUGUGUAUGGAUUGCAUCGAGAGGAUUGAGGAAAAAUGAAAAUUCAAUUACUAAGGACUGAAUACACUGUAAUCCUUUUUGAAGUGACUUGUCUACCAAAACUUAUUCAUCAUUAGCUAAAUGUUUGGUGUUUACUAAUCAUGUAUUUUUACUUUCAUCAUAUUUGCAUUACUUGUCUUCUUUAUUACACAUUCAUUCUCAUUUAGCAAUACAAUAAUAAUUCUUGUUUAGUUUUACUCUAUAGCUCUGAAAUUCUUCAUAGAUUUCAAUUGUUUCCCUCAGAUUAUGUUCAUUAACCUCCUCAAAUAUGAGCAAAAGCUUUCUUUGCAUUGAAAAUCUAAGGAAUUAUCUAUGCAAUGACUUCAUUGAUGCACAGAAAAUUUUAACAUGACUGAUUCAAUUUAUAUACAUGAUAAUACCCCUUAAGUUGUAUAGAGGUGAAAACAAAAUGAGGGAAAAAAAUUGUUCCAUUACCUCAAAACUAUUACUGGAUGCUCCAGAAGUUUAGCUGUAGUGACUCUUCCAAACUUCUACAUCCUUGUGGCAGUUUCCAUUUUUGUUAUAUUGCUUUGCCUAUGCACGUCAAUGUGAAAUCAAUUGACAAGUCCAAGGAGAGUUUAUUUCUUGUGAGACCUUUGUCUAACAUGCCAAAAUGUUUUACUAUAAACAUCCUCCACCUAGGAGAAGUCCCCGCCUAGUCCUUUUUCUUUGUUUUCUGGUCUAUUGAAUUUUACAUAAACCUCCUCUAAAAUCAUGCUUUAUCCAAAAUGAUGUUCUUUUUUUAAUGAUUCAAUUGCAGUUCAGUAUUGGUACUGAGCUGUUUUCUAAAUCUUGCAGCAUCAACCGAGGUUCCAACCUGAAAAUUUGGAGCAUAACAAAAAGCUAUUUGAACGUGUUAAUGAAAUAGCAGUAAAGAAAGGAUGCACCCCAUCUCAGCUUGCAUUAGCAUGGGUUCAUCACCAAGGAAAUGACGUGUGUCCGAUUCCUGGAACCACUAAGAUUGAAAACCUGAAUCAAAAUAUUAAAGCUCUGUCAGUGAAACUUUCUCCAGAAGAAAUGGCGAGCUUGAAUCCAUUGCUUCAGCAGAUGCUGUAAGGGGUCAUCGGUAUGGGGGUGUCACUCCUACCUACGAAGACUCUGAAACUCCACCUGUGUCUUUGUGGAAACCUUCAUAAAGGGCGUUGGUAUUCUGCUUCUUAGUACCGAUUUUGCAAUUGCAUGUAGUUCCUAGGUUCUGUUGUGGGUAAAAUCAUUGUGUUCUGAUACGAGACCCUAUCAGUACCUUUCUGCACUUUCCACAAGCAUUUAGUGAAUAUUGUAUUGAGUUCCUAUGCAGUGUUGUAAGUAAAACUAAAUCAUUGUAUCUUCUGCAGUGAGCACAAAAACAAUGUAAUGUGUUUAUGCAAAUAUAUGAGAAACAAUAACAAAUCAAAAUCGAGUAAUAUUUAUCUGAAAUUUCUGGAAGUUUAGAUGAUCUGAAUCAGGGGCGAAGCCAGAAAAAAUAUCUUGGGUAGGCUAAAUUUUUUCCAAAUCCAAAUAUUAUCUUGGUUAAAAAUAUAAAUUUGAAAGAAAAUUUUGUUAAUACAUAAGAAAAUGUGAAAGAAAAUUUUGUUACACAUAAGAAAAUAUGUCAUAUCUACGAAGUAAUUUAGUCACAAUUAAACACUAUUAAGUUUGUGUCUUACCAUACUUUUGAGAAUUAAAUCCAUCUAUUAUCAAAUUUAAAUUGACGGUGUUUACAAAUUCUCUUUUAACGUAGAUAACUAUACAAUUUGAUAAAAAUUCCUUCUCUUCCUUAUUUUGAAGUCGUGUUUACGCUCGUUUGGGUGUUUCAGUCAAAACAAGGUAUAAAUAUAAAAGAAGUUAAAAGAAAUAAUCACAAAUUUACUAAUAAAAUUCAUAGAACCGUCAGUCUGUCACUAUGACACAUUAACACUAUCCAGAAGCCAAACAAUAAGUUUAAUUAACAAAUUAACUUUAUGUAUAAUAUACUAAAUUGAAUCUAUGAUCCAUCUCUAUCAAUAAUCAAUUUCAAAUAUCUCUAAUCUAUCAAUAAUUAAUUUAAAAUUUUGAAUGCUAGAAUUUAAUGGCUAAAUUAUCUUCAUUUGACCCAACAAUAAUUUAAUUGUACACAAUGAAAAUGGAACAAAAAUUAAAUAAUAUAAUCUUUAGUCUUUACUACCUAACAAUUAAUAAGUGUACUGUAAAUGAUUGAAUAAACAAUAAAUGUAUUAUCUAUUCUUGUCAAGAAUAAGAGGAAGAACUGAAGAAGCCAGGAAAGAAAGCACGUUCUGGAAUCUUGAAUGAAGUAAAUGCUCCCUUUUUCUAUAUAUUUAUUUGAAUGACAAAAUUGUAAAUUAAUAAAGUGGUACUAUUGUAAAUAAAAUAGCGGCAAUUUUAUAAACUUUGCAUUAUGACAUUUUUAUAAAUUUUCCAAAAAUUUCCCAGCCCACUUGGAGCCUCGCCACUGAUGCGAAGAGCAAUGCUAGAUGUCCCAACAUAAGUCUUAAUUUGAGUUCCUAUUGACGUGGAAUUCAUCUAUUGAAUGGUGGUUAAAUAAUUUUACUAGAUAUUACAUUCAUUAUUCAAUUGAUGAGUGACACAUAUCAUUAAGAGUCAAGUUGAGACUCAAAUGUUAGGAUCCUAAAUAUUAUUGCUGAUCUAAAUUUAUUGUAGCAUUAUACGUUUCUUGUUGUUGCACGUGACAUCCUUCCUCAACAAAAAAUUAUUCAAUGAUUUCAGAUCAAUCGAAUACUUUUGCUGUGUUACAAAGUGGCCUCUACGAGAUUACCAAAUUGAUUCACAAUUUUUCACAUCAUUUUACUGGAAAUUAAAUUAUUUCAACCAAUUGAUUAUGCUUAGUCAUGGUAAAAACUCAAGUCGGUCCAGGAUAUGGCAAUACUCAAAUUUGGCCCAAGCAUGUUUUUUUUAACACUGAGGUUGAGCUUAAAAUCUCGGCCCCAAAUGGAUUUUCUUUUAUGGGCUUAAAAAAUCCAGAUUUAUAUUUUAUAAUAUUAUAUAUGUAUAUUUGCAAUCACCUCAUACUGAUAAAAAGUCGAGAGAACAAUUUGCAAUGGAAAUCGAAUCAAGAAACAAUUUCUGGUCAUAAAAGCAGAAACGCAUGAAUUGCGCAAGAAGUUCUUUCGGUUAAAACCUAUACCUCAUGCGCUUUUUAUCCUUUUGAGGUUAAUGCAAAGACCCAAAUGGCCCAGGCUGGGAUGGCUUUCGACCUAUUUUAGUUUUAUGAUUUUUAAAUUUUAUUUAAUGAAUUUGGGUUUUCAAAUAUGAACUUUAAAUAUUUAAAAUUUUAAAUAUGUAUAAUUUAUGGGUCAAAUAAAUAUAAUUAUUUAUAAUAUUAUAUUUUAUAAUAUUUUUUCAUAAAAUUCAAGUUUUGGGACGGAUUUGAAUUUAUCAAGUGAAACUUAAACUUGGCCCGGCCUCAUCUUUGGACUAGAUAUUAUUGGCCGGCAUUACCUAGUCCAAUCCGUACAAAUAUUUUUGACAGUUUCUAUUACCUUUCAGGCAUUUCACACAUUUCAUUGGGUAUUUUUUAUGGUUAAUUUGAUCACCUUCUUUGCAGUAAAUGAUAAAUAGUUACAUUUAAGAAUUAAUUCAUCUAAAAUCAGGGAAAAAAAAAGCAUAUAUACCCCCUUGGGAACAUAAAUGUUGCUAUAGACCUCCUUGGUUUAAUAAAUAAUCACACAAAUGUUUUUUGAUGAUUAUACACAUCAAUUUUAACAAUCCAAAAAUGAUUUUAAAUAAACUUCUAAGAUAGAUAGAUACAAAAUAUAAUAUUAAAAUAAUAUAAUAUAUAAUUUUUAUAUAUUUUAUAAAUUAUUUUGAAUAAAAAAAUUAAUUUAAUGUUAUUAAUCUAUCAUAUAGGUUUUAAUUUAAUAAAAUCUAUUUUGCAGAUCAAUAAUAUUAAAAUACUUGUAUUUAACAUUAAAAAUAAUUUACAAAAUUCUGUAUUAUAUAUCUUAUUUAUUUCUUUUUAUGUUAUGUCUAUAUUAGCUUAAUUUUUUAAGUUUGGGUAGGAUUUUUUUUAAGCCAAUAAAGAAUUAAUCUAUGAAAUACCAAAAUCUACGGUGAGUCAUGAAAAAUAUAAAUUUAAAGAUUUUACUCAAUUUUUUAUUGCUACAAUUUCACUCUGGAGUAAAAUGACAGAUAAAUCAAUAAUAUAUAAUAUAUUUAAUAAUACAAUUCAACAAUUUCUUCUAUCAUAUAAACACCCUUUUUUUUCUCAUAAAAUGGGUUUACAUCUAGGGGUGAUAAUAUAGAUCAGGAUUUAUUGAUUCCAUUUUAUUCUAUUUGAAUUAAAAGCAUUUAGGUUUGAAAAAUUAAUUCAUCUAAUAAAUGGACCAUUUUAAUUGAAUUUGUUUGGUAAACAAAUUGAAUGUCGCACUGAUUUGUUUAUUUUUUUAAGAUCCAUUUAUUGAAUGAUACAAUAAAUAUAAUUAUGCACAAAAAAAAAAGUCUGACUAGUUCAAAAUAUUUAUUUUGAGGAUUUUAAUUGUAAUGUUAAUGGAUUUGUAAUUUCAAACGAACCAGUGGAUUAAUUCAAAAUAUGAAUGUGGAUUUAAGCUCACUGGUUCGGUUGAAAUUUUGGAGUUAGGAUGGUUCGUUUAUUCUAUUGUUAAUGAAUUUGUAAUUUAAACAUUGAAGUUAGAAACUUUGGAGUUUCAAACUUCUAACCCAAUUCAUUAUAUUGAAUUUACCGACUUUUAACCUAAUUCAUGAAUUCAUUUUGCUACCCUAUUUACAUCUAUACAUGUAUUAAUUCAACAAUUUCUUACAUCAUAUAACCCUGACUUCUUUUUUACAUUAUAAACAUUUUGUAUAUUUCAUUCAAAAACAUCAUGAUUGUCGAUAUUGAAGACUAAAAUAAUUCAGAAAACAUUACAAGGUUAAUUUUUAGUAUUAAAUGGGUUAGUUUCAAUGGAAUAUAUUAUAUUAUACAAAGAGUAGCCUUUUGACACCUUUUAAAGGUUGAGGCUAUUUAACCCUCUAGGUUACUCAUUAAACUAGCAUUUUAAUAAACUUAAUUGUUACUAAAAUAUCAAUAACAUAAAUUACAAUUCUAGACAUAUGAUUAUUUGAAAACAAUUAUACUGAUGUUUUAUUCCAUCUUCAAACUCAAUAUGAAUUUAAUCAGUUUUAUAAUACUCAUGUUUUCUUGAAUCUUUAGUCAUUUAUUGAAUUUUUACUUGUCUACACUUUGCAUUCCCUCAAAUUUGUUUGAUAUUUGGAUUAUUUGGCCAAAAGUUUAUUGUUCAUAAAUAACUCCUCCUAAAUCCAACUGAUAAUUUCUUCUCAAUAAUGGAUUCUCUCUUACACAUGCGAGUAUGGGCAAACCUGGUCUCUAAUUAGUAUUUUAAGAAAUAAAAAAUAUCACCAUUCACUACCCAAUAAAUAUAUAAUAGGGAAAUUAUCAUUCGUCCACCCUAAGAUUACAUUGUUAUCAAAAUUACUACAAAACUUUGACAGUAUAUCAGCCGUCCACCCUUAGAUGACAAAACAUAUCUCCCAAUCACCUUUUCGUCAACUGCCGUUUACAACUUAACAGAAUUGAAACACAAUGAUGAUAUUGCCCUUACGCAUGAAAUUAAUGUUAAAAAGGCAAAACUGCCCCAAAGAUGAAACAAUGCCAAAUGUAGCCGUUGGACUCAACAACGGUAACAAUUUUGGCUAUAUAAUGAGCCAAAAACAGCAGCACAAACCUCAUUGAAAGCAAGUAAAAAUUAGCAACUCCUCAACAACAACAAAUCAGCACACACCUCAUUGAAAGAACCCAAAUUAGCUACUCCUCAACAACAACAAAUCAACACACACACCUCAUUGAAAAAAAUGAAAAAAUUGCUACUCCUUAACAACAAUAAAUCAGUAGCACAUUUCCUUGAAAAUGACCUCCAGUGAAGCAUCAAGUUCUGGUGUCAGUGGAUUUAAAAGAUAUAAAAAAGUGAAAUGUCAGCCAAAAUAUUGCAAGUGUGGCGUGCAAGCAGUGGCCAUGGUGUCAACUACAUUGCAAAAUCCUAAUGCACUGUUUUGGUCAUGCAGGUGGAAGCAUUGUGGAGUGAAGCACUGUGAUUUUUGGGAAUGGUUCACUACGGAAUCUCUCAUAUAUCCGACUACUAAUGAUGAGAUGGCAUACAAGCAAAACCUGAAGCUAAAUGAUGAUGUGGUGAAAUUAAAAAAGAGGCUGAAACUCAUUGAAGGAAGGCUUAAAUAUAUCUUAAUUCUGCUAGUGUGUGUAUUUGUAACUGUCUUUAUGAGAAAGUAAUAUGGCUUGUAAUAAAGUUUCAACAGUAAUGGUUUAGCUCAUGUAAUGUUCCUAACAAAAUAUAUCCUUAACAAUAAUGUUGUCAAUAAUCAAUCGAAACAGUGAUAGUGUAAUUAAUUAACAUCCAAACCGUGCAAAUAACAUAUCUUCUUCAAAUUAUUGUUCAAUAAAAAUCCAAAACAUGGUUUAGCUCAUGCAAGAGCAUAGUUAAGUUUAGGAAACUGAAAUUGGCAAAAUCAAAUAACAAAACCAACAUAAGAGUUUAGGAAUCUGAAAUUGAAAAAAUGAAAUAACAUAACCAACAUAAGUGUUUAAGAAAUUGAAAUUGAUGACAUGUUUCCCAACAAAUUGAGUAUCAAACUCAUUUUAAAGCACAUGUUACAGUUGACGACUGUGAUGGAUUCUGGAAUUGGUUAGCUUGGGAUGUGUUGACAUCUGUUUUCCUUUUCCUUCCUAAAUUACAAAAGAAAAAAUUAAUCAAACUCUUAUGUAUGCACUAUAAACUGUGAAUUAUAUAUUAAAACAAAUUAAUGAAACUCAACCUCUUUUUCUGGUUGUUCCAGCAACUGUAGUAGUACUUUUAUUUUUUCUUUUCUUUGAUCCAAUAUUGGAGCCCUCGCCUGGACCACUUGCUUGUACUGUCUGCUGAGAUGGCUAGCCUGAAAGAGUUGCUGGUUGGGCUAAAGGAGUUGCUGGUUGGGCUAAAGGAGUUGCUGGUUGGCUUGAAAAACUUGCUGGCUAGGCUGAAGAAUUUCUAGCUGAGAACUGUAAACAAUAUAAACAGUCAAGUUAAGCAUUUGCAUACUGCUGAUCAGCAAUGACUAUUAUAUUAAAUAACAAUAAAAACAAUAUAAACAACAUACUUGAGAAUUAGUACUCCUUGCUCGUGCUGCCCGUGCAAUAGAAGGCCUCAAUGGACAAGAUCUUACAUUGUGGUUGGAGUCACUACAAACUGAACAAUUGACAAAGAAUCUCCUGCUGCAUUUCUGAGGUUCAGUUGCUGCUCUCUUCCUACAUUUCUUUGGCCUCCCAAUCUUUUUUGGCACAAUUGGGGGAUCAAUUAGUGGCCUUUCACCACGGUCCCAUGUACGCUCAUCAGGAAUUGGAUAAAACAUAACCGAGUACGUAUUAAUGUAAGCUUGCUUGGUGAAGCAAAAUGGUAUGUACUCCUCAAUUUUGUGUCUUGCAUAACCUAUGCAAGCCAUAGUGUGAGAGCAAGGCAAACCGGCAAUUUCCCAAUACCCACAGUCACACGUUCUGUCCUCUAAUUUCACAACAAACUUCCAAGCUGGAUAAUAAGAUUUAUCCAUGACUUGAAAAUUCAAGUCUCCCGAAGGGUGCACGAUCAUUUUCUCUCCUUUCUUGUAAGAUGUAUCCAGCUCUUUAUAAAUCCUCGGAGCAACAGAUUUUGCCCAAGCUUUUGCUUCAUUUUUUCUCUUUGUGAAUCUUUUCAUAAGUCUACACCUAAUCUCCUCAAGCAUCGAUAGCACAGGCAUAUCUCUAUAAGGUAAAAUCCAGCUAUUGAAACAUUCAAAUGCAUUAUUGUCAGUUCUCUCAACUUUAUAAUUUCUAUCAUAUGCAUGCAUAGACCAAGUGUAACCUUGCAGUUCUCAUUCCAGCCAAUUAUAAGCCGCUAUCUUUUUUUCCUUAAUCAAUGCCAUUGCCUCAUUAAAGUCGUGCUUGUUACUGCUCUUGGCUGCCCUCCAAAAAUGAUUCCGCAACUUGGCACCAGCAUGGUCUUUAGCAAAGUUAGCAUACACAUGCCUACAACAUGCCCUAUGAUAUGCAAAAGGCCAUGUGUUUGGAAUCGCAUUCAACAGUCCAUUUUGCCUGUCACUAAUGAAUGUGACAUGUCUUCCAUCAUCUAAAUAGUUGUGCAAAUGUUCAAGAAACUAGGUCCAUGUUUCAGUAUUUUUUAUUUCACACACACAUAAAGCCAAUGGGACAAUCCCUUUGUUAGCAUCUGUAGCAAUAGCAGCCAAUAACACUCCUCCAUAUUUUCCCUUCAGGUGGUAGCCAUCAAUUCCAGUGAAGGGUCGGCAACCAUUGAAGAAAGCAUUCUUUUGUUUAGGAAAUGCAACAAAGAAUCUUUUAAAUAAACAUUUCUCAGGAUAACUCACUGCGUCACAUAACACCUUGCAAAUAGCUCCUGGAUCAGCCUGAUGAAUGGCUGCAGCAUACUGAAAUAACUUCUCAUAGCCCUUAGAAUGAUCACCGUACACCAAAACCCUUGCUUUUCUCUAGCCCUAUACAUUGUUAGUUUCUCAAUCUUCAAUCUAAUUUUUUCCUGUAUAUAAGUCCUAAGCAGAGAUAUCUUGACAUUAGCAUCAAUAGCAACAUGCCCUUUUAUCAUUUCAGCAAUCCAUGUUGAAGUCACCUUCACAGAUUUCUUAGUAAGCCUGCACUCAUGCUUUUUGUGGUAUCCUCGCAACCAAAAUCCAUUUCGGUCAUUCAAUCUCGCACCAUUAACAAACCAUAGACAACUAGGCUCUUUACAAGUUGCAUAAUAUCUCCUCGGUUCACUGUAUUUGAUGUUAAUAUUGAACCCUUUCCUAACCAUCACCUCAUGCAGCACUUCUCUGAAAUGACCUAUAUCCUUGAACACAUCACCCACCCUAAGCCUAUGUACUCCAUCAGCAUCUAACUUAUACUCAUGCUUUUUUAAAUAAUUUCUAAACUGCACACUACCUAAAUUCAUGUCCUCAUCUGAAGAAUUAACAACCAUUUGGAACUCCCUAGUAUCAUCAUCCAAAAAAAUAUUUGCAUCGCUAUCACUGUCACGUUGGUUUCCCUCACUACCAUCACUGUCAUCACUGUCCUCUACAGGCGCGGUAUCAUCAACAAACACAGUAGGUGGUGGUUGCUCACCAUCACCCUCUUCGCUGUCAUCAUCAUCAUUACUACCAACCCCUUUGUCUGACCAUUUUGAUAGCAAAUCAUCUUCAACAGGCACAGUAGGUUCCUCACCAUCACCCUCAUCAUCAUCACCACUGUCUAAUCUCUUGCUUGACCAAUUUGAUAACAAGUCAUCUUCAUCUUUAGUUGGAUGCCUAACUUUGGGAGUACUCUGAUGCUCUGCUCUAUUAAACUGAUCAUUCAAUGUAGUUAUAGCUUCUGAAGGCAGAUGUAUCCCUAAGUUAAACAUCAACGAUUGCAGUAAUGAAGAAUCUGGAUAUUGAGGGUAUAACAUUGGCACCACUUCAACUUCAAAUGUGUUUAAACCCAUUGAGUUAUGAAUCCCGAAUAAUCUGUUUAACCCAAAAUCGGAAUCCACCACAACCUUCGCUUUGCUAUCUGGAUUUAUAACAGUUAACAAGAUUUGUCCUGCUUCAUUUAACCCAUGUACUCCUGUUAUCUUUAAUGCUUCAACCCUUAUUUUAUCAACAGAACAACUUUCAGGGUAAAUCAAACCUACACAACAUUUUUCUCCUUUGAAAUGAAUCACUAACUCCAUUGGAGACAUAUGCUACCAUAUCAAAUGCAACAAAGAAUAACCUAAUUAAAUCCUAACUCAAGCUUUUUCAAAAACAAAAAUAGGAAAUUAACGAGAUUCUACAGCAACAAGGACUUCAAUUAAGAUACAAAACUUUCCUCACCAUUUCGUUAGUUUCUACAGUCUAGGGUUUCUAACAUUAGUUAAAAAAUGACAAAUUCAAAUAAUUUCUUACAAGUUUUUACAUCUAUUGAUUAAAUAAUAGAUGCAUUGCAAGAAACAAGUAUCAUAUAUGAACAUACCUAACAACUCGAUCCUUCACUUGUUGUCUUCAAGCGUUAUCAGCUUACGCCUUGAUUCAAACUUCAAUUCAACCUCCACAGAUGUCAGCUACACUUGUUUGAUGGUUAAAUAUUGAACGUAUUUGGUGAUAAGGGAACAAAAAUAAGUAGGAAUGGCUGGUAUGCGUGCAAGCUAUCUCUCGAUGAAUGAACAAAUUGGGUGCGUGGCUGCAAUAAAGCUUUUUGAUGCGCCAAUGUGAAACGUCGUCGUUCUUUUUUUCUCCCUAAAACGACGUCGUUUUUCAUGGAUGAAACUACGUGUCAUCCCGUAAAACGACGUGUCGUCCAACAAAACAUUCAGUCGUCUGGUAAAUGGCUGACAUGUCAUAUUUUCCCAUAGCUGCUUCUAUCUUAAAAGACCAUAUUACCCUUAUGACGUCAGCGGUUGUAAACGGCAGUUGACGGAAAGGUGGUUGGGAGAUAUGUUUUGUCAUCUAAGGGUGGACGGCUGAUACACUGUCAAAGUUUUGUAGUAAUUUUGAUAACGAUGUAAUCUUAGGGUGGACGAAUGAUAAUUUCCCUAUAUAAUAUAAGCAAUUUUUUGCGGGCCUUUUGUUGUGGUGGGUGGGACCUGGGCAAGGGCCCCGGUGAAGGUGGCGCGGCCUUUGAUUUGGUUUUUGUGCCACGUACAUCAACACUAAAUGAGAUAAUAUUGUAUUUUUCAGUAGAGGAUUAUAAUCUAAAACUAAUAAUAAUAGCUAUUGGGCUGGUAGAUCAAUGGUAACAGUUGUUCUCAAUAAUACCGAGGAUAAUAGUUUGAAUUCCAUUUUUUUUCUUUUCAAUCAUUUUCCUCAAUAAUAUGGAGUAGACUUUAGAGUAUUUACUAGGGCGUAAUAGAUUUUUAAACAGUCUCAAUAUACUUUUUGUUGUUUACAAAAGCAAUUAUAAGUUCUCUAUUGUUUUGCUUAGUACAUGAAAGCAUUUGAUUAGCCGCCCCUAGGCUUAGUUGAUUUCCAUGUAGUUUUAUUUGUUUGGUAAUUAGAGUUCGAAUCCUCAAAGGUUAGAUGCGAAAAAACUGACUUGGUAUUACCACCUUUUACUUUUAAAAAACACAAAAAAAAAGUUAUAAGUAUUUGAGUAUGAUUAUUGACAAUAUAAUUACUAUUACACUUAUUAUUAUUUUGUACUCUUACAGCAUGCAAUAAAAUAAAAAUUUCUGAAUUUAUUAAAAUUUAUUUAUUUAUUAUUUAUUUGAGCAUACAUUAUUAGCCCUUAUUUAUAAAGUAUUUGAUUUAUAUAUUGGACAUAUGAUGUCAAGAUAGAAGAUAAAAAUCACAAAUUCUUUAUAAAUUAAAGAUUAUUCACAUCCAUUAAUGAAAUGUUAUUUUAUUUUAUAAGGCUGUAUAUUUUGUAUUUUUAUUGUUAAGUAACUUUAUCUUAAUCACUGAAGUAGAGACUUCAAGUAGAAAAAUUAGUAUGUAUAUGAGAUAUAUAUGUAAUGAACAAGAUUGUAAUGAAUUAUGAUCUAAUCUAACAUAUGUUGCUAAUCAUAAUCUAUACAAACUUUAAUAAGCUUGAUCGAUCUUAAUCCUGAGUGGGUAAUAUAACGCUAAUAAAGGGUAAAGGAGUCUAGCGCACAUUCAGGUAUUAUGGUUUUUGAGUCGUCACAAAGUAAGAUUUGUGUAAACGGUCAAAACGUUAAUAAUUUUGAGAUAUAAUUUCAUGGAUUAUAGAAAUAUAUAUACUUACAAGAUGGAAUCUAUACAAAUGAUGCUUACCUAAGCUAUUUGUAGUAUUUGAUCAUAGGGAUGAGCCCGGCCCAUUGCCAAGAGAUUUGGCUCGGGCCUCCAUAUGAGCGGUCUAGAUAAGGGCUUAAGUAAAAAAAAAAUCUAGACACACGCCCUCUAUUUUUUUUCAAAAAAUAAAUUAGAAAUUUGAAUAAUAAAUUAAAAUUUAUAAAAUAAUGGGAAAAAAAAAGAAAGCUUAAGUCCCUAAUUUAUAUAUCAAUAAUGAAUCAAAAAAUCUAAAAUUAUAAUAGUAAACUCUCUUUUAAAUGUUAAUUAAUUAAGAAGAUACUUGAAUUAAAAAAUCUAGUAUUAAAAAAUUUAAAUCUCUACACUUUUUUGUUGUAUUUUCUUUUUUUAUUAUUUUAUUUUGAAACAUUCAUUUUCUUUAAUUUGUUGUUGAUUAUAACAACUCAUUGACUAUUAACUCAUUUCAAGUUUUUAACAAUUUUUUUAAAAAAUGAAAAAAAAUAAGUGAAAGCCCAACCCAGCCCCGGCCCAAGCCUAGCCCUUAUACUUUCCCUCUAACGGGCUUGGGGCCGGGCUUGAAAAAGCCUAGUCUAAGCUUGCAUUUUGCCAUCCCUAUAUUGAUCAUUUAAAUAUGUGGUCAUAAUUUAUUCAAUAAAUUAUUUAUUAAUUAAUCGUAUUUAUUUGUAAUCUAUUAUUUAUUAAUUAAUCACAUUUAUUUAUAAUCUAUUUACAAAUAUAAUAACAGUGAUAGUUAGAAUAAAUAGUGACUGAGGGAUAUAUAUGUAAUUACAAAGAAAAAACAUUUACCAUGGGCUGGAUUUAAUUAAGAUUAUCAAAUAAAGAGUCAAUUAAGUGGUAAUUAUUGGUUUAAAAUCAUGUCUAAUAUUAAUUAAAAGAAGUCUUAAUUAAUUAGGCUUUUAUUUGUUACAUGGUUCAUUAGAGUGCGACUUCGGACUUUUAGUAGAAUAGCUUAGGGUUAACUUAGUUGUUUUAGGGAGUCAUAAUAUGACUGAGACUUAACUAUGAAGUUGGAGUUAGGAAGUUCAUGGAUACCCUUUGCUAGCUUAGUUUCUAGUUAUAUCUUGACUUUAAUAAGUGCCUAUAUAAAGAAGAGGAAAUGGGAAUUAGAGUUCUCUAUAUGCCCUCAUGUGCGAGGGAGACUAUUGAUGAUAGUCGAGAAAACUACAACCAUAUCCUACAUAUCCCAAUAAUAGUAGUGGAAAAAAUUAAAGUAGUUGUCUUCAAAUCUUCAGUAGGAAAAUUAAGGUGUUUCUCUAAUUUUAUUUAUUUUUAUGUAAUCAAGAAAAAAAAUAUGACUUUUGAUAAUUUUAUUAAAUUAAAGAAAAAAAAUAUUUUUUAGGCCUGAUUUACCAACAACUGUAUGAGAGUGGUAUUGAUAUAUGAUACAUUCAUAGUACGACUUUAUACAUGAUUGUGAUAGAUUUUGGACUUACGCUAUUAUUGCUACUUUUAUUGAUUUGAAUUUAAUAGUUUACAAGAACCUCGUAGCGCUGCAUUUAUUUUUGCAUAUUUCGCAAAAAAAGAAAUCAAUCUCUAUAAUGUUUAUAAGUUGACUGAAAUCCCUAAAGGAUGAUUCACCAUGGUUCCAGUACUUGACCGUAGUCUUAAGGUAAUAGAAUGUUUAAAAGACAAUUUUCCCCUUGCCAAUUACCAUAGCCAAAUAGUUUGAGGGAGAUAAUAAAAUGCAUUAAACUUCAAAAAAAAAAAAAGGAAUUUUGAAAAAUCAAAACAGUGAAAAAGAUAGUGAGGGUCCAUUUACAUCUAUAGCAGAUUCUCUAGAAGGAUUAAUGGGUAAUACAGAAUCGUGGGCCUUUGCUUGCGAAGGGUAGGAUCCAGGCAAAGGCCUAGGUGACGCCCGCGCAGCCUUUGAUUUGGCCUUUGUGCCAGCCAUGUUAUUAACAUGGGCAAUUUUCAGAAACCUCCCCUGAGGUUUGAUAUAAUUUUACUUAGAUUGUGAGUUUGAUUGUAUUCUCACUUACCUCCCCUACCGUUAGUAUACAUACGGUUUGACCGUUAGUUGAUGAGGGAAAAUAUGUAAAAGACAAGCUGAAAUUAUAAAAAAAUCAAAUAACAAUAAAAAAAUGGUUUAAAAUCUAUUGGAUAAUUAUAUUAACCGAUUAGACACAAUAUCUAUUGUGUAAAAGAGUGCAUUUCUCCUUCUCUUCUCUUUCCCCAGCACAAAAAGCAAUGGAUGGCAUUCUCUCACAAUUUUCACUCCACUCACCUACUCUCAUUUGCUGGAAUAAAAAGAAAUACACAUCAAGAGCAUACAUAACCCAUGAAGAAGAAAGACAUAAGUGGUCGGAAAAGGCCAGCGACCGGUGACGAUCAACGGUGGCCGGAAAAUGCCACCGUUAUUGGAGUUUGUAAGAGGUUAGUUACUUUAUGAAAGUCUAAAAUUUUUAAAUACCUUUGAUUUUCUUGUUUUUGGAGUUUUAUAAGUGGUUGUUGGUUGUUUUUUAUUUGUCUUGUUCAUGGGUUGGUGGUGGAAAAUUUGAUUAAAAGGAGAAUGAGUUUAGCCAUAUAUGGCCAUGAGUUGAAAAAAUUUAAUUAUUAGUUAUUUUAUAUUUUUGAUUUACACCAUACAUAGCGUAAUAAGGCUAUAAAACAAAAAAUUUGUUAUUGUUAUGCAAAUGGGUGUGUAAAAUAGAAGUAAAACUAGCUGUAAUUUUUAUUUUUCCCGCCAAAGUUUGCUUAAAUUGAUAUAUUUAUGAAUUUAUAGUGUUUGUGUGCACCCGUCGCAGAAACCCAGUUUUUGCAUUUUUGGGUGACAAGUUUGUCUCCCGUGCGACAAGUCCUUAUCGCACUAAUACAGACUGAGUUUUUGGGUGACAUUGUUGUCGUAUGUACGAUGAAUUGAUGUCGCCCGUAUUAAGUUUCUGUGUUUUUAGGCGACAAAUUUGUCUCACAGGGGACAAGUCUUGUCGCACAAAAAUACGAUUUUUGUCUGUUGUGCGGCGAUAUGCUCUUGUCACACAUACAUUCUGUAUUUUUGGGCGACAGUUUUAUGUCUCCCGUGAGACAGUUUUUUGUUACACGAACGCAAUUUCUUUUUUUUUAGGCGACAAAUAGGAUUUUUGGGAAACAAGUGAAAUAAUGUUUUUGUAUUUUGUGCGGUGACAUGCUCUUGUCUCACAUACAGACAUUAUGUAUUUUUGGGCGACAACGUGCGACAUUUUUUGUCGCACGUACUCAGUUUUUGUUUGUUAUGUGACAUGAAAAACAUUAAAAUGUAUUAUUAUUAUCAUUUUUCUGUAAUAUUGUAAUUGUUGUUGUUGUUGUUUAGCAAUGCCAUUAUUAUUAUUAUUAUUAUUAUUAUUAUUAUUAUUAUUAUUAUUAUUAUUAUUAUUAUUAUUAUUACUUUACUUUCACUUAUUAACGUGUGCUUAUUCACAUAUGAUAGAAACAAAAGGCCAGUUGAAAUGGACUGCUUUGACUUAGCGGAUGAGAAUGAGUUUGCUCUUCCUGAUUUGAAUGAUGAGGUUCACAUCGAGCAAGUAACGGCAAUAGAAGAUUUUGUUGAGAUGAUGGCAACAAAUGACGAUAAAGAUGUCUUUGCAGAUGAAUGUUCAUAAAAUAAUAUUAAAAAUGAUUUACCUCAUGCUGAUAGCAAAGGAGAGGUUAAUGAAGUUGUUGACGUUGUGAGAUGUCGUAUCAUCUUUUUAUACUCCGUCAUAGGCACAAGAUUGAGUUUUUGUAUAUUUUGUAUAAAUGUGAUACUAACAUAGUGACAAUGCCAUGUAUAAAGUAUAACUCAGCUAUCUAUCAUGGCACACUGUUACUGUAGUUAUUAUUUUUGUUCUUUUUUUGUAUAUGGGCGACUGGUAGAUGUAUAGGCUGAUGAAAUUCAGUCAAAUUGUGAUUGUGACCAACUGUAAGCGGCGGAAAUGCACAUGUGACUGUUAUUUAAGUGAUGGUGACAUUCUUGUUAGUGUUAUUUUCCAAUUCAAUUAACUGAUAUUAAUGUUUUUUAGGUCUCGGCAUAAAUUAAAAUGUUUGUUAUUUGUGUUGUCGGUUGGGUGACAAAUAACUUGAUGGAGAUUAGUAUAGUUUGUUGCUGAGAGAAGUAAAUUAUGUUUUUGUAGUUUUUUAUUUCACCUCCAAGCAAACAUCCUGUAAUUUGGGGAGACAACAUUUAUCUCCCGUGCGACAUGUGCUUGUCCCCCCAAAUUACAGAAUGCUUGGCUCGAAAUUACAGAAACAAGUAUUUUGUAAUUUAGGGAGACAUGAUAUUGUCUCUUGUGCAACAGUGCUUGUCUCCCCAAAUUACAGAAUGCUUGUCUCGAAAUUACAGUGAGUAUUCUCAAAUUUGGAGAGACAAGCAUCGAGCCAAGCAUUCUAAAAUUUGGAGAGACAAGCUGUUGUCUCCCGUGUGACAGUGUUUGUCUCCCCAAAUUACAGAAUGCUUGUCUCGAAAAGUUGGAGCGACGACUGUCGUCUCCCAAGAGAUAAAUGUUGUCUCCCUAAAUUACAGGAUGUUUGCCUAGAGGUGAAAUAAAAAACAACAAAAACAUAAUUUACUUCUCUCAGCAACAGACUAUAUCAGUCUCCACCAGCAAGGGAUUCAAUUUUGCUACAAAAACCAAACCACCAAUAUUUGACACAAGCUACUAUCAACUUAUAACACAACACAGAUUCUCACCAACCAACAUCUCAAUAAAAUUACAAAAAGAAGGCAACUCUUGAUUCUCACCAAGCAACAAUCAACUCAUUAACACAAGGUAUUAAAACAGACAUAAUAACAAUCUUAAAUAUAUGAAUUGAAGUUCGGUUGACACAAGAUUCAAUAAUUAAUAUAAAAGAUUAAUAUAUCAUUUAUAACAUAAUAUCACCAUUAAAUAUGUCAAUGGCAAUCUUCCUCCUAAAAUAUUGUGCAUGCCAACUGUCAAAAUUAAAUUGUAGCUUGAACUUUAAGUACAUUGUAAACAUUAACAUAAACACCCCACAAUCACCGCUUACGGGCUGUUGUUGAGGCACAUCAUCAACGCUCACCAGUUUCCAGGGUUCCGCACUAUGUAAGUUUGGCCGGAUGUCGUAAAACCCAACAUCUUCCAGCCAUUGGGGAAAGAUAACUUGAAGUGGCUUCAAAAGCUGACAAUACGUUUUUUCCUCUUGAAACUCCUUCAUUGAGUCAUAGAUAGACAUCUGCUUGCACCGGAAGUCUACCCAGGGUACAACCCAAUGGUUGUCUUCCAAGUUAAUUGGAAUUAAAACAUGUAGAUGGCCAUAAGAAUUCAUAUCCAAUGUUAAGAUAUCAUAAAAUCUUGAAAUUAUUAUUAUCAUAACUAUAUUGAACCAUGUAGGAACACACACCAUAUCACCGACAGCGAAGCAAAGCGCGCGCAAUGGCCGCUUGUCGCGUGCGCGAUGAGUGAGCUGGUCACACGCUCGAGAAGCACACGUCCUGCGCGCAACGACUGUUUCUCGCACGCGCGAUGGGCGCUGAAACACGAACGAGACGAGCACUCAUCACGCGCGCGUUUCAAUGCCUGUCGCACGCGCGAGCACGUUUCUCCACUCGUUGCGUGCGCAAUUUUGCAGAAUUCAUAAAUGCAUUUUAAGUCGUUUCUCGCAGAUUUGUCGUGCUACAUGAUGAGCUUACAAAAUUUGUCUUCCCAUCAAUGUGCCAUUCUACUUAAUCUACUUAAAAUGAGACAAACAAACCGUAAUAGGCAUUUUGUCGAACACCUCAUGUGCCAUUUUUUACUUACCAAUUUAAUAAAAUUGUUUUUGAUAUUCACACAACAAUCAAUCCUAAUACUCAUCUAUAAUCAAUCUUACACUCAUCUAGCUAUCAAUAUCAUUUCAUUUCAUUUCGGUAUAAAUAAAUAUGGUUAAAAAAAAAAGAAAAAUGAUUUAUAUAAAAGGAAGAAGGAGAUGAGUUGAAUCCAACUUUUUAGUCUAAAUAUUGAGUACUUACAAUAGUAAUUAAUUAAAAGAGCAGCUGGGCUUGAGAAAAUGCUUGUUCCUUUCUUAUAAAAUUAAAAAAAAAACAUAUAAAUUAAUUGAUUAAUGGAGAAUGGGGGGAAGCAAGUAUUGUGUAGUGUGUGUAGAAUAUAUAGAUGGAGGAGAGUCAUAGUAUCAAGAGCUGCAACUUAUUCUGGAAAAUUCGGCCAAAAUGGGGAGAGUAAACAGUUUUUGCUUUUUUAUGUCAUAAUAUUUAUUUAUUUAUAUAUGAAAUUCAAAAAUAAUAUUUUAUUACUUUAUAUUAUAAAUUAAAAACAACAAUAUAUGUGUAUAUUUUACUUAAUUGCUCUUGUCUCUACAUUUUUUUUUUAAAUAAUGGAAUGAGGAAAAAAACCUUUUCAGAGAGAGAAAGGUGAUGAGGAAAAAAGAGUGAGAUUCAUUCGUACUAGAGAUAGACCUUCUCACCAAAAAAAAAAAAAGCACAUGAACAUGAAAAUGAACAUGGUGAUUUUUUUAUUUUUUAUUUUGUUAAAAUGAGAAACAAAAAGAGUUUGCAAUAUAAGCAUAGCCAAGAUUACCGGUAACUUGACAGAAAUAUUGCGGCCAAAAUUGGCGGAGGUAGAGUCACGUGCUGCCGGAGAUCAAUUUGCUAUCAAAAGCCCGUCCACCCAUCGUUGAUUGUUGCCGGAAAAGUCAAGACCUAGGUUGAAUUUGGAGAGAAGUAUGGUACCCUAUUUUUGUCCAUAAACACACUCAUUGGUAAAAGCACCCGUAUGAAGUUGUUGGUGCCAAAUCAUAGGCUUGGUUUAAGUGGUUUGGAUAUUUUAAUAAUUUUACAAGUCAACUAAUGGUCAAACCGUAUGUAUACUAACGGCAAGGGAGGUAAGUGAGAAUAUAAUCAAACUCGCCAUUUAAGUGAAAUUAUAUCAAACCUCAGGGGAGGUUUCUGAAAAUUGCCCUUAUUAACAUUGAAUGAUGUGAAAUUGUACGGACUAGGGUGCAAUUGGUAUUGCCAUUCAAAUAAUAUUUUAUAAUUUUUUAAAUAAUUAAUAAUCUUGUAUGAAUUUACUUGCUUUACUUUAUAUUUACUAGUUUCAUAUAAAAUUAGUAAACAUAAAGUAAACAAGUAAAUUCAUACAAGAUUAUUAAUUAUUUAAAAAAUUAACAUUGCUUCUGCACAAUUUUAGUGAAAAAUGUUUUAUUCAUUUACAAAAAUAUAAAGAAAAAAUUACUCAUUAAUUAAACAAAAAUUGUACUAAAAAAGUGGAAUAAAUUUUAUUGAAUUGGUUUAACCAUAAAUUCUAUAUUUAUUUAAGAACAUUUGUAUAAUUUUUCCCAUUUUCUAUAAUAAUAUCUGUUUAUUACACAAGUUAAUUAAGUGCAAUUAUUUAUCUUGAGUCUUGACGUGGAUCAAGCAAAUGAAUAAAUAAAUAAAUAAAUAUUCUCAUAUUACUUGACAAAUAUUAUGAUAUAUCAAUAAAAUUAUAUCUAAUUUUGAGUUCUAUGUAUGCUUCAUGUAGUUUCAAACUUUUUACUUGUACUUAAGAGACCAUUUAGGGUUGUUAUUGCAGAAGUGUAGACGGAUGCAAAAUAACCUCAUGUUACAACAACUAUGAAAGAUAUUAAAAUAGUUUUUUUUUUCAAAAUCUAAUUCUGCGAAUAAAUUUCAUCCUUAAUAAAACAUCACAUGUACUACAUAAAUGCAAAACUAGCAUUAUGCAAUUUAAUUUAAAAAAAUCAUUAAAUAUAUAAGGUAAUAAACAUUAUAAUGAGUUUUUAGUUUAUAAGAGCUUUUUUGUUAGUACCUUUUAUUCAUAAGUUUUGAGCAUAAUUUACAAAUUUUAUGUUUUAUUUUGCACUUAAUAUUGAUUUACUCGGUUUAUAUUAUAUUUGUAUGUUUUCGUUUUAUUUACUAAUGAUACAUCAAUUUACUAAUUUUAUAGUAAUUUACUUGUUUUUACUUUCCUUUCACAAGUCUUAUUCUUCAUUUCCAAAAUUUAUGUUUUAUUUUAUUGUUAAUGUUGAUUUACUAGCUUUAAGUUAUAUUUGCAAGUUUUUGUUUUGUUUACUAGUAAUACAUUAAUUUACUAGUUUUAUAUUAAUUUACUUGUUUUAUCCUCCAUUUACAUUUGUGCAUUAUUUUGCACCUAAUGUUAAUUUACAAGUUUUAUAUUAUAUUACAAGUUUUUGUUUUAUUUACUAAUAAUAUAUCAAUUUACGAGUUUUAUAUUAAUUUACUCGUUUUACCUUCAAUUUACAAGUCUUAUGUUUAAUUUCUAAAAUGUAUGUAUUUUACAAUUAAUAUUGAUUUACAAGUUUUAUAUUUUAUUUACAUAAAUUAUGCUUACUUACAGUAUUGAUACCGUUACUUUAAUCAAGGCAUAAUAGAAUGAGCCUUCUUUCUGAAAUAUACUUAUAAAAUGAAAUUUUGAAAAUGUUUGAGUUGUUUAAAAAGUGAAGACGGUAAAAGAGAGUGAGAAAAAAAUACAUACUAUGAUAUAAUAUUUAGAUAAACUAAAAUUAUUUUUAAUCAUAAUAUAUUUCAAUUAAUUUUUUAUUAUUUGAAAUUUCAAUUACUUUUUAUUAUUUAAAAUUUUUAUUUAUAAAAAAUUAGAUAAAAUGAUUUUUAGGGAGUAUCAUUAAUAUUAGAAUAAAAAAUAAAAGAUAAAUAAUAAAUAAAUUUUACUAAUAAAGAACCUUUUAAAAAUUACUAAAUAAUACAAUUACUAUUGUUGAAUAAAAAAUAAUUAAAAAGUAUUAAAGAUAAUUAGAAUUGCAUUAUAAAAUAAAUAUUGAUAAUGGGCCCACAUAAUAACAGACAUGAUUUUUAUUUUUUUGUUCUUCAAGUGGUACUUGUGGUACCCAUUUAAACAAUGAAAAUUGAAAAUCACGAAUGCCUUGUUGUCCAAUUUUCUUCUCUAAAGUUAGAGAAUGAGAUUAAACAUUCUUACUUGAAAUUAAAUAUCAUAAAAUAAGUGUACCAAACAAAUUUUACACUUUUUUUUCUUGGAAAAUGAAAAAUAGCAAAACAAAAAAAUAUCAAAUACAUGCUUAUCUUCUAUAAAAAAAAUAAUAGCCAUUGGCUAAUUAAUCAAUGGUGACAGGUAUUCACAAUAAUAUUGAGGACACUAUUUGAAUUCCAUGACUUUUUUUUACUCAUUUUCUCAGCAGUAUGAAGUAAAUUUUUAGAGUAUUUACUAAGAUGUGAUAGAAUUUCAAGUUAGUCUUAAUAUACUUUGGGUUGCUUACAAAAGUAAUUAUAAGUUCUCUAUAAUUUUAGUUAUUACAUGUAAGCACUUGAUUGCCCACCUAAGGAUUUAACCAGUUUUUAAUUAAUUUCAUUUGACUGACUAUUGGAGUUCGAAUCCUACAAAGAUUAUAAGAAAAAAAUUGAUUUGGAUUUUACCCAUCCUUUAAAAAACACAAAAAAAAAAUUGUAAGCAUGUGACUAUCAUUAUUGACAAUAUAGUUACGACAAGAAGUCUGCAAGAAUCUCAUUGCAGAUUAGAUUAAUUUUCAAGUACUUAGAAAAAAAAAGAUCACUACAAUAUCUCACUCAAAUACUUAAAAGAUGAUUCAUCGAGUAAUUUCCAUACUUAUGUCCUAUUUGAGAUUGAGGUUGAACGGCUAUAGUGUAAAAAGAAUAGCACUAAAGUAUUUGGUAAAAAGAAUAACAUUAAAGUAUUUGGUAAACACUAACUGGUAUAGCUUGAAAACUAAGUUGAUUUGAUUUUAUACUUGUAUGAUGAAAAAUUUAUUAUAUCUUGACUAAUUUUAAAAAAUUAUUAUUUAAAAACUAUAUUUAUUAUAUACUAUUAACUUUUACUUUAUAGUUACAAUAUUUUUUUCAUAACAACUGUAACUCAAAAGGUACAGUACUUCAAUACCAAACAUGACCUUAGACCCGCGUUCUAAGAUAAUAGAAUGAUCAAAAGACAAUAUUUCCCUUACAAAUUGCUAUAGAGCCAGAUAGUUCAAAAGAUAUAAUUAAAAUAUUAGGGUGCAUACAGUAUUGUUUUCAAAUCUAAUUUUCUAUUUUCUAAAUUCAGAAAAUACUAGAUAAGUAUUCAAAAAUGAUACUAAAUAUAUUUUAAAAUUUAAAAAUAACAUUUUCAUUGUUAUUUUUAUUUCAAGAAAACAACAUUUGGAAAACAAUACCAAAUAGGGCCUUAAGCUUCACAAAAAAAAAAAAAUUACUUUUUUUUGUCAAAAUUUUUUGAAAGAUAGUGAUAGUCAUGGGCGGCUCUUCCUGGGCAAUUAUGAAGCCUUUCCUAGACCAUUACUUUUCCUUUAAAAUGUACCUGAGCUCAUUCUAAAAAAAUUAAAUAAAAGAAUUUGGACAUAUUUUUUAUAUAUCAAAAUACUUAUAAUUUAGUGAUAAUUGUACUUUUUAGUGAUUUUAGAGACUCGGUUCAAAUUUCAAUAGCCAUAUAAUUUUAUUUCUCUACAUAUUUCGUUCUCAAAAACUCAAAUUCUAUUUUUCCUCUUAAAUUUUAAAAAUAAUAGUAAUAUGUUGUUUAUUUUAAAUGUUGAACCUCAUUAUGGACAUUGAAAAAAAUAAAUAAAUAAAUAAAUACUCCAACUUAAAUUAAAACUUUUUGAACUAAAUCCUACUUUAAGUGUUUGGGUUUAAUCCAUAUCAGAUGCUGUAAUGGGUGACGCAAAUAAGUGGGCCUUUGCUCGUGGUGCAGGCGAAGCUAAGGUUGGCAAUUUAAGGGCCUGGGCCAGGCUUUGCCAAGCCCAGGACCAGGCCCAUAUAAUGUUAAAUAAGUCCAGGCCCUCUCAAAGCCCAUUCAAGUUGAGCGGGUUUUGGACAGGCCGGGCCUGGGCCGAGCCGCGGGCCAAGCCCGAGCUUUUACGAAAUUUUAAAUUUUUUUUUAAAAAAUAAAAUUAUAAAUUUUCAAAAUAUAAUUAACCAAUACAUAAUACUACAAUAGGCUAAAAACUUAAAUAUAAUUCUCUAAUACAUGAUUAGCAACACAAAAUAUAAAAAUACUAACAAUACAAAUACCGUACACAACGUACAAAUCAACCACUAAUAUAAAAAAAAAACUAAUAGAGAUUUACCGAUUUAGGAAUUUUGAUAUUUUGUGACAAAACCUUUGCCCUUUCCCUUUGCCCGAUUUUUUUAUUAUUUUGUUUAAUUAUUUUUUCAAUUUUUUAAUAUAUUAUACAUUUUUUAAUACAUAUAUAUAUAUAUAUUAUACAUAUAUAUAUUUUAUAAUACAUAUAUUUAUUUUGUAAAGCAAUUAAUUUUUUUUCCAAUUUUAUAAUAUAUUAUACAUUUAUAUAUAUAUAUAUAUAUUAUUUAUUAUUUAUUAUAAAGCCCGGGCUUUUCAUUUAGGCCCUUGACUGAGCCCAUAUGUUAUGGGCUUUAUUAACUUUGAGCCCUUACCCAUAAUUUCAAGCCACGGGCCGGGCUUAAAGCCCGCGGGCCUGGACCGGGCUGAUGCGGGCCUGGGCCGGCCCGGGCUUUUCUGCCAACCCUAGGUGAAGCCCUUGAUUUGGCCUUUUUAGUGGAGAAUUAUUAUUCUCUAAAAAUUCAUUUUUUUUUAAUUAUAAGACCGUAGUAGAUUUUCAAGUUGGCCUCAAUAUAUUUUUGGUUGUUUCUAAAAGCAAUCAUAAAUUCUCUUUAAUAUUAAUUAUUACAUAUAACCAUUUAAUUGAUCUUUCAUUAGAUCUAGACGUAUUCCAUUACAUUAACAUCACGAUUCACGAGUUUGUGAGGCCCGCUGUGAGUCAGUCAUCAUACUCCCACAUCUUGUUAAUUUGAUAGCCCUUAGCCGCCAGUUUGGGCUAACUUUUAAUUGUUCGAUUGGAAAGAUUUUAAAAUAUUUGUGAAGCAUUAUGCCAGUAAUAUAAUUAAGGGAAAAUGAUUAACACACCCUCAGACAGAGGGAUAAAAAUUCUUUAACAUUUUAAAAAAAGAUAUUUACGCUUUCAUUCACUAACAGAAAUAAUUAUUUUUAAUGAAAAUAGUAAUUUUAAUAUAUAAUUACCGUUAUACACUUCUAACACAAAAAGAAAUUGUUAAUUAUUUAAUUUGUCCAUAUAUUGUUAAUAAAAUUAUAAAUAUACCCUCAUUGCUCAAAUAAUUGUUUAAAUUUUUAUCUAAUUCUCUCAUCAAGCAAAAUAAAUUUAAUCCAUUACUCAAGAAUAUAAAUAAAUAAAAUUAGUUAUUAAUGCUAUAAGAAUAACAAUUCUUUACACGUCAAUCAUUUUAACUUGUAUAAUCAACAAAAUAAAAAAAAGCUGGUUACAACAAUAAUUACAAAAAUCUUAUCUUAAUUGUAUUAAAUAACAUAUCCAAUAAACAUAAAAUUUGAUAAUGGAUUAAAUUUAUUUGGCUUGAAGAGAGAAUUUAAUAAAAAAUUAAAUAGAAGAAUUGGUCAAUGAGGGUAUAUUUAUAAUUUUAUUAACAAUACAUAGAUAAAUUAGAUAAUUAAUAAUUAUAUUUUUAUGUGGUAUAAGGGUAUAACGAUAAUUAUACAUUAAAAUUAUUAUUUUUGUUAAAAAUAAUUUUUUUCAUUAGUGAAUAGGGGUGUAAGUAUUUUUUGCAAAACAUUAGGAAAAUUUUUAUCCCUUUGCCUAAAUAUUAAAGGUAUGUUUGCUAUUUUUCCUAUAAUUAAUAAAUAACAUUAUGACGUACCGAUUAUUUAUCUAACCACUCUCUUGUGUGAUUUUGUAAAGUUAAUGACGUAAAUGCUAACAUAUUCCAUUACGUUAGCAUUACGAGUUUUGAGAGGCCCGCAGAGCAAUAUAUAUACAUAUAUAGAUUGUUCGCCUAGAAACAGCAACCUCACUCAACAGAAAGUUGAGAGGAUAAUAGAAGGGAAAUGGCGGGGGCAGUGAAGAGAAUCAAGCUGGGUUCACAAGGUCUAGAGGUUUCAGCGCAAGGCUUAGGAUGCAUGGGCAUGUCCGCCUUCUACGGGCCCCCGAAGCCCGAAUCCGAUAUGAUAGCCUUGAUCCACCAUGCCAUUGACAGUGGCAUCACUUUACUUGACACUUCCGAUUCUUACGGACCUCACACAAAUGAAAUCCUUCUGGGCAAGGUAAUGUAAUUUAUCUUCUGUUUCCUUCCUUUAAUUUCAAAAGGGUGUGUUUGGAAUUGGCAAAUAAUAGUAUAUUGGCUUUGAUUAAUUUGGUUUUGGGAUUAGGCUCUGAAAGGAGGGUACAGAGGAAGAGUUGAAUUGGCUACUAAAUUUGGUAUCAGAUAUGAGGAUGGCCAGUACUCAUACUGUGGGGAUCCUGCUUAUGUAAGAGCUACAUGUGAGGCCAGCUUGAAGCGUCUGGAUGUUGACUGUAUUGAUCUUUAUUACCAACAUCGCAUUGACACUAAAGUCCCCAUUGAAGUCACGGUUUGUCGCUUUUAAUUUAUAUAUUUGUCUCAAUCAUGCAUGUUAAACUAUAUUAGUCUGUUAGCCUCUGGGUAGCUCGGCUGCCAAUGAAUAUGAAACACAGAAUAUUUAAAAAUACAGGCAUGGGUCACUUUGAUGGGUGAGGUUUCUGUUAUCAUGUACUAAUUCUUUUACUUGUGUUGUUUUGUAAGAUUGGGGAACUCAAGAAACUAGUUGAAGAGGGUAAAAUAAAGUAUAUAGGUCUAUCGGAGGCUUCUGCUUCAACAAUUAGACGAGCUCACGCCGUCCAUCCAAUAACAGCUGUGCAGUUGGAAUGGUCCUUGUGGUCACGAGAUGUGGAGGAAGAGAUUGUUCCUACUUGCAGGUAAGGCAUUAUUUGGGCCAAAUGAAUUGUUUUGACCUAGUUGAAAGGAAAAGAAAUUAUGAGUAGAUGAUUUAACAUUUGCAUGCUAACGCAAUUUUGGUGGUUGCUCUGCUCAGGGAACUUGGCAUUGGAAUUGUUGCUUACAGUCCUCUAGGACGUGGGUUUCUUUCAUCCGGGCCAAAGUUGGUUGAAAGCAUUGCACAGGAUGAUUCUAGACAUGUCCGUAAGCCUACCAUGCAUUUAUUACCAAUUUUUAUGCAUGUUCAUUGGGCCUUAAAAUGUUUUCUACCAUUAUUAUUCGAUGCCUACAAGCAUGGCUAAAACCUUCUCUCAAGAUACUCUACAGUGACUUGCAUACUAUUUUAUCUUAUAAACCUCUGAUAUUUAUCUAGAACGAUAGUUAUAGUUCAUUCUAACCAAACCCAGUAGGACUUGUUUAAGAAUUCUGUUUCUUAAAUAUUCUACUAGUUCAUUUCGAUCUUCUAAUUACACUGAAGUUACCUGUGUAUAGAUUGCAUGGAGAAGAUUGAGGAAAAAUGAAAAUUCAAUUACUAACAACUGAAUACACUGUAAUCUUUUUCGAAUUGACUUGUCUACCAAAACUUACUCGUCAUUAGCUAAAUGUUUGGUGUUUACUAAUCAUGCAGUUUUACUUUCGUCAUAUUUGCAUUACUUGUCUUCUUUAUCACACGUUCAUUCUCAUUUCCAGCAAUACAAUAAUAAUUCUUGUUUAGUUCUACUCUAUAGUCUGAAAUUCUUCAUAGAUUUCAAUUUUGUCCCUCAUAUUAUGCUCAUUAACCUCUUCAAACAUGAGCAAGGCUUUCUUUGCAUUGAAAAUCUGGGGAAUUAUCUAUGCAAUGACUUCGUUGAUUGACAGAAAAAUUUAGCAUGUUGGAUUCAAUUUAUAUAUAUGAUAAUACCCCUUAAGUUUGAUAGAGAUAAAAAAAAUGGAAAAAAAUUGUUUCAUUAUCUCAAAACUAUUACUGGGUCCUCAAGAAGUUUAAUGACUCUUCCAAACUUCUACAUCCUUGUGGUAGUUUCCAUUUUUGUUAUAUUGCUUUGCCUAUGCACGUUAAUGUGAAAUCAAUUGAUAAGUCUAAUGAGAGUUUACUUCUUGCGAGACCUUUGUCUAACAUUCCAAAAUGUUUUACUAUAAACAUCCUCUGCCUAGGAGAAGUCCCUCAACUAGUCCUUUUUCCUUGUUUUCUGGUCUAUUGAAUUUUACUUAAACCUCCUCUAAAAUCAUGCUUUAUCCAAAAUGAUGUUCUUUUUUAAUGAUUCAAUUACAGUUCACUUUUGGUACUGAGCUGUUUUCUAAAUCUUGCAGCUUCUACCCAGGUUCCAACCUGAAAAUUUAGAGCAUAACAAAAAGCUAUUUGAACGUGUUAAUGAACUAGCUGUAAAGAAAGGAUGCACCCGAUCUCAGCUUGCAUUAGCAUGGGUUCAUCACCAAGGAGAUGAUGUGUGUCCAAUUCCUGGAACCACCAAGAUUGAAAACCUGAAUCAAAAUAUUAAAGCUCUGUCAGUGAAACUAACUCCGGAAGAAAUUGCUGAGCUUGAAUCCAUUGCUUCAGCAGAUGCUGUACGGGGUCAUCGAUAUGGGGGUGUCACUCCUACCUAUGAAGAUUCUGAAACUCC